ACAACCAGGAGUACAUUUGAUUUCAUCCCUCCUUCGGUAGAUAGCGAUCGAGAGGAACUGAUCAGACAGCACCAGCAUAGGACCGUAGCAUGGACUUGAAAGUUACCUCGUGAUGAAGGUAGGGGAAGACCAUGAUGCCUCCAUAAACAGAAGAGUUCUUCAGAUAGGGAAGAACGUCAUCAACUAGCACAUUAGGUGGGAUGUAACCGCCCUCAGGUGCGAUAUCCUUGGAUAUAGGUAUUCCCAGGAACAAUAGAUUAACGCCUCUAUAAUUAGACCACCUGUCCCAACUCCGGAAGAGGAGACUGGUAUCCUUUGGAGGCCUAAUCUGACAAGAUGGGUUGUCGAAAAAUUCCACCCGCACCUGAUCAACGAGUCCAGUUUUGAUAGUUGCGUCAAGAGCAGGGUUAGGAAUAGGACAUUCCGCCGCUACAGCUAAGAUCACAUUUGGGUAUCCCUUAAGUGCCCGAGCAAGAUCAUCCAAGUAAUUCGUGUUUCCGCUGUGGAUGUGAAGCUCUACGCCAUCUAAAACAGCUUUGCCGAAUGGACGGUCGCUUGACUGACCGCCUAAGUAAGUGUUCCAGAUAUAGGCUGCCACUUCUUCUGCAUCUUCGACGGAAGAAAGCCUCGGAGGUCCUGCGAGAGAAAUAAAGACUUUGGUCUGAUGUUUCUGGCAAGAUUCUAUGUCUGCUGCGCUCGGUCGAGGAUGAAUUAUGCUCAAUUGAGGCAUCUGGCCACUGCCGAAAUCUUCCAGAAAGGCAAUAUUAACGUCGGUAGCGAAUUCUCGCCUGCAGAACUCACUCACACUUUUUGGUUCUGUAUGGCCUCGGCCCCAGUAUCGGACAAUUCCGGCAGCUUCGGAGGACCCAAUCAGAGAAGCAAUCAACAACAGGAAUGUUAUUGCUGAGAACAGUGGUUGCAAAGAGGCAGCCAUUUUCUUUUCUUUCUUUUCAGUGAUUUUUGCAGCUUUGCUUUGGUGAGUUCACUUGCACAAUGACUGACCAUUUUAUAGAUGAGUUUAUCUCAAGUGGAUGUUCAGCAUCUAGAAAAUCCAAACAUCCGUACAUGAAAACGUGGAUGGCAUGGUAUUAUUUUUCUGUUUUUAAUUUUGCGGGAGACUACCGUUGUACUCGCCUAACCUCAUCCGCAACUGGAUGAAGAAAGAUUUUCUUUUUUGGACGUUACAUGGCAGCUAUGGGGGGAAGGGGAACAGGUCCAAAGCCAGGCUCCAAAGCCAAUUCCCAGUUGGUUGUAGUUAAAGGGAUCUUCCUCUAACCUGCCGUCACAUCCUUUCCAGAAGCCAAGACAGCAGAAACUAUGUCCACAGCCGAGAUAUGUCUCUGCUGAAACAGAGCCAAAUUCCCUGCUAUCCAUAGCUUGUAUACCACAACAUUAUUGAAAGCCAAUCCCCGGACCUGACCAACAAAUGAGUUUGAGUGGCAGUACAGGUGCAAAUGCAAAAGUUCUAAUGGUUAAGGCCGAGAUUUCAAUAAUUAGAGAUGUUUUAGGUUCAAAACCCUCUUUGCUUCUUAAAUUCUACCCUUCAAUCCUACGUUAUUGAAGGCUCAAAACAUAUUGAGCCUUCAACUACUCAUCCUAUUUUUCUAGAAUUUUAAUUAUUUUUUCAAAAAUUGAUUCAUGCCUUCCGUUUGGAUUCACCAUAAUGUCAUGCAAUGCUUUGUUGCUUUUAAUUCCUUAUUUUUAACGUAGCCCCAAACGUGGCAUAUAAUAGUCACUCUCAAAAUAAAUGCAAUUAAUUAAUGGGAGAAUUGUAAUUUUGGUCCCUAAUUCAUAGUGUAUGCGCGGAAUUAUCCCCAAUCUAUUUCGAAAAUCAAUUUUGGUCCCUAAUCUAUUCAAUUUUGCGUUAAAGUGUACAAUUGAUGGAAUCUCUUCAAUUUCAAUCGGAAUUAAGUCACGUGAGAUCACGUGCUGGCACCUAAAACCCCUUUUUCAAUUUUUUAUUUCUAAAACACGUUUUUUCUAGUGGCUUGGCUUUUGGCAUGGACACUCCUGUUCCUUCAGCCAGAUCAAUUUCCUCCUCGCCAAUUCUUUUCCAAUCAAAACUCUGAAUUAGAGAUCCCAAGGCCAAACCCACUACCCGCUGUACUAGGCCAGAACCAGGGCAAGAUCUCCUUCCCAUACCAAAUGAAAUCAGCUUUGAUGGCUAAACUUGCAAGCUUUCGAAUCUCUCUGGCUUGAAGCUUGUUGGAUCAUCCCAUACGUUUGGGUCCCUGUGAACUGCCCAUGCAUUAACUAGCAAAAUUGUGCCUCGCAGAAUAUUGUAUCCCCUAAUUUUAUAGUCAUCGGACGACUCAUGUGGCACUAGCAUUGGUGCUGCUGGGUACAACUGAAGUGUUUCUAAAAUAAUGUUAUGAAGAUAAGAAAGAUUGGAUAGAUCAUGUUCAUCGACCAAUUGAUCAGUCCCUACUUGAGCAUCCAAUUUAGCUCGAGCUUUCUCUAGCACCUGAGGUGGUUGAACAAAAGAGACAAGGCCUAUUCUAUAGUCACUGAUGAAGUGUCGGUUGUGGCCGUAAGCAUGACCUACCAAUAAUAUACUAGUGGUUCAAUUGAAUGCUCAUUCCAGCUCAACGGUGAAGAAUGGCUAAUAUGGAAAAAUAAUUAUAUCCAUAAUAAUCAAUAUAAAAAGACUAAAAUACAAUCUUUUACUAACAUAAACUAAUAAUUUAAGUUCUUGUCCUCCAAAGAAAUAACAAUGCUCCAAAUCAUACAAGUUGAACAGCUUAGCAAAAUUAGCACAAUUGACUAACAAACACAACACAGAAUUACAAAAUAUUCAACAUUUUUGUAUUCUUUUUCUAACUAAAAUUUACAAAUCAUACCCAAAAAAAGAACUAAUCUAAGUUCCUAUCCUCUAAAGAUAUAACAAGAUUCCAAAUCAUAUAGUUGAACAAUUUAGCGAAUUAGCAAAAUUGACUAAAAAAAAUACAAAAAGAUAACAACAAAAAUUUCAAUAUAUUUUGUAGUGCUUUCCUAAAUAAAAUUUACAAAUUAUACCCAAAACAUAAAAAAAAAUGAAAUAUACUUAUCAGAUACUUCAAUUUUUAGAAUCAUCAUGCACAUAAAAUAAAAAAAAUAGCUCUAAAUUUCGGCCCAGACCUAGAUUUAAAAGUGGACCUGAAUUAUAUAUAAUCGGACGUUAUUCUUGCUAUUAGAAUUGUUAGAUUUUGUUAGAGAAUAAAAAAGAAAUAUAAUAUUUUUACCUAUUCUUUUGUUGAGCAAUUAGAAUCAAAAUUAUGUCCUAGUUAUGACUAAAGAAAUGGAGAAGGAUAUUUUGGAACAACUUAAAGUUCUUAUUUAAACUGAAGACAUAUUGAAACUACAAAAAUUAGUUUAGAAAGGAUAAUAUGAAAAUAAUGCACAAAAUUUGGCUCCAUAGAUGCAGCACCUACAGAAGGGAACUACGAAAAUUAGGUUAGAAAGGAUAAUAUGAAAAUAAUGCACAAAAUUUGGCUCCAUAGAUGCAGCAUCUACAGAAGGGACGAUUUGCAUUCAGGGGUUGCGGAGAUAUGGAAAAGUACUGUGGAAUGGGGUUGUUGCAAGGUAGAGCAUGAGGACAAGGGAAGAAGGAAGUAGGAAGGUGAUGAGGCAGGGGUUGUCGGAAAAGUUAAAGGAAGCUAAGGCUUAUUCGGACAGUAAUUUUGAAAAAUUAUUACGUUUUUCGUGAACAUAUUUUCUUAUUAUUUAAUAUUUAUCAAAUCGUUAUAAUAAAUUUUUUAUAAAAAAUCUAGAAAAACAAAAUUAAGAAUAAGGAUGUUUGUUAAACAAAAAUUAUAUUAUUUGUUAACAAUUGUUUGGAUGGGAGUGUUUUUCAAAAACUAGUUUUUCAAAUAAAAUAAAAUUUUUAAAAAGUACUUUAAAAGGUAAUCUAAAAAUUAGUUUAAUUUUUUUUUAAAAUUUUUAAAAAAAUUUUAAAAUAUAUUCUAGAAACUCUUCUACUCUUAAGUAUCCCAAAAUAUUUUCUAAAAAUAUCCUAAAAUAUGGUCUAAAAAUUCUGUUACAGUAAAAUUUUUCAAAAAUACCCCCAAAAACAAUUAUUCCAAACAGUUUACGAACGACAAUUCACAAAUGUUACACAAAGUGUCUCCAUUUUGAUGGGUUACUUUUAGAAUGGUUUUAGAAAACUUUCAUAAUGGGAAUAUUCUUUUAAAAUCUUUAUGUGUAGUAUUUUUUGGUCCUUUGAAAAUUUUUGGUAUGUUUUCAUUGUGGGCAUUGAAUAUAUUUAAAAAUGGUUGGUAAGCAAUAAAAUGAGUCUCGGCAAUAGCAAAAGAUUGUUGGUAAUGGGUCCACCGCAAGGUUGUGGGUUUAGGCUAGUAGGAAGGCGGUGGAGUGUAGGUGGCAAUUGGUAAAGAUUUAAGCUAAGUAAAUUUACUUAACAAUAUUAAAUUUACUUUGGAUUAAUCUUACAUAUAUACUAUCACUAGCAGACAUAUGACACAUGAGUAAAAAUUUUGGAAAAUUUUUUUUUACUCAUGUGUUAUAUAUCUAAUAGCGAUAAUAUAUACGCUGACUGACAGUGUAUAUAAAAUUUAUUCAUUUACGUUAUAGAAAUAUUAUAUUUACAUUUUUUCUCAUUUUAUGAGAUUAAAUUUACUUAACAAUAAAAUUUACUUAACCAUAUUAGUUUCAUAUUUCUAUUUUACCUGUUAAAUAAACUUAAUAAUAUUGCUAUAAACUUAAUAAAUGAUCAGCUCUUUCUGGCUUUACAUAUAAAGGGCAGCUUUUGAUUGUUCAAAAAUUACGUGACUAAUUUCCACAAAUUAUGCGAAUUGCGUGAUGCAGAGAACCUCUGCCUAACAGUAGACUUUUCACGGAUGAGGGGCUGGAGAGGUCAUAAGAAGGAUCGCUCUUGAGCUGUUUCCGAUCAAGAUUUAGUCCAAAAAAGUUGUACGAUUCAGAUCACUUAUUAUAUCUCAUUUUUAACAACGUGUGUGAUGUCCACAAAAAUUUGUUUUAAAGUUAUACAUUGUGCAAAUAAAAUUACGCUGUGUGUAAGCAAAGUUACGUGACGUGCAAAAUGUACAAAACCACCAAUCGUUCCUGCCCGUGGUCCACUUUUCACGUACCACGUGUAAGCAAUUAGUACAUCAUUUGGAAUUAUUUGGACAGCGGCCGUACGGACGUGGAUUGGUUUGAUAGAGCCUGGGAUUUCAUAAAAAAAGAUACUCUGAUGUAAAUCUUUUAUUUUUUUAGCAUGUGCCUUUUUUUGAUAAAAAAAAAAAAGAUAGACACAUUUUAUUAAUGAUGUAACAGGUAAUCAUCCAUGAGUUGCUUGACGAAAUUUGGAAGGAAAUUUCAAAGAGAUUAAAAAAAGAUUAGCACUCUUAGCGUGAUGGGUUAAAGUAUGCACUACCUUAAUUUGCUUCUCUUGGAAUCAUUGAAUAUCAAUAUAAAGCUGAUCUAGUAAAGCUAAAUGCGCAUCCUCAAUUUUGGAUCAUUUGUGGGCCUCAAUCAAAUAAUGCCCGGGGAUAUCACAAGUCAAUCGGCACUUACCACUAUGGACUUGAUUGGAACGAAAAUGCCUCACCAAUCCCUCAAUCCAUUCCAGUUGAAGUUAAGAUCAGCAAUAUCGUUAAUUAGCCCCUUAAGCUUUGUUUAAUCAUAACUUACCCCUAAUGUCUUACAUCUUAAGCAGAUACUCUUUUGGUUUUUUCAUCUUAAGCAGAUACCAUUUGCUAUAUCGUUGUCAAUUAAAUAGUUAAGCCAUUUGCUUGCUAGACUGAUGAGGGGAAUUAACAAUAUAAACCACUAAACAGAAAAUCUAGCAUUUAUAUUAAAUAUAAAAAUUUUACUGAUGCGUAUUAUUUUCUGCAAUCCUUAAACCAUCCAAGCCUAAGAAUUAAAAAUAAAAGGGCUACAUGAAUAAAAUAAAAGAUUGGAGAUUAAAGAUGCUUAAGAAAAAAAAAAGGGUUAAUUUAAAGGACUAAAUGAACUACCUGCGAAAUGUUUUUGUCCUUACAGAUUAAAUGAUCUGUCAUUACUAGCAUUUUCAUAAAACUUUAAAGGCGAAAAUGGUGUAACCCCAUAAGUUAAGAGGUAUAACUGUCAUCUUUUCCAUUUGUAAAAUUUUCAAUUGGUUUGCUUAUUUUCUGUCAAAUAUUUUUACAUUAAUUUAUUUUUCUAUAUGCUGACAAUACAUACCAUCAAGGUCGGAUGCAUGACCACUGAUAUGAAUUUGAGUUCGAAAUAUAAAUAUUUUGCAUUUGUAGUAUGCAUUAAACUCCGUUAACGUAUACACUAUUAGGAUGCAAAAGAUAAAUCCUAAUUUAAAUUGCAAACGAGAGGGUCGAAGUUGUGGGAAUCAGCAAAUCAAUUUUACGACCAGCUGCUGCUAAGGAAUGAACAUUUCCAUUAGUUGAACGCAGGAUAGGUCUCCACAAGAAUAUCUUGAUUUUCCAUGGCGGGUCAUUGUCCAGUGUGUAGGACCCAAAAAAAUUCCAAUGGAAAGUUACACGAGACAAAUUUCAUAGAACUAAUGGGAGAAUUACAUGGGAGAAGAGGAAUAAAUCAAUAAUAUAUUAUUAAUUACACAUAAUAACAUGGUUCUCAAAUUUCAUUCUUCUCAACUGAUAGUAAUAAUAACAAGACUAGAUUAGGUGAUUUGAUAAACAACUCUUACAAUCACAAGAAAUUUUCUAAUAAAAUACUAAUUCUUAAACAAUGAGACUACUAUAACUUAAGUCAAAUAGAAUUACUAAAACCCUAAUACAAAUAACUACUAAAUAUAUUUUUGAGCCUUGAUUUAAUAUGCCGUCAUAGUGGACUUGCAGUUGUCGUACACAACACGUUGUCAAGUUUUUUGCACAUCUUAAGCAAGUUUAUAUACUAGUCUUCUCGUCUAAAUGUUGUGUCAUCUUAAUCUAGAUCGGCAGAUUAAAUGACCAGAAUCAAGAUAUUAUCAGCUUAAGUCAAGAUAUUAUUAGCUUGCCUAUCUAACCACCACGCUAGAAAAACAAAUUUUCCUGUCUUCCAAUAACCCUUUAUCAUUUUUUCUCCCAAGAUAGUGUAUUUUGCUACACGUUCGAUCACAAAUCGGAAACUAUUAAGCGAAUGCAAACAUAAACCAGAAUUAACUUGUAAAAUGAAAGCUACUCACCUCAAAUUAUUGAUUUCAUGCUAGCCUUCAGAAUCCCAUUAGCUAUUCUUUCCAAUUCAUAUCCGUGAUUAUAUUUCCAAUCCAAUCUUUUUUGGAUCGUUUAUGGGUCCUAAUCAAAUAAUGCACCGGAAUAACAAGUCAUUAAACCGUCGGAAUGGGGUAGACUAAAAUGCAAAUGCCUCGCCAACUCCAUGAUCCAUAGCCAUUAAAAGAGUCGAAGACAAGAAAAGUAGAAGAAUAUUGUUAAUUUUGCAUCUUAAGUAGAUUGCUUUUCCUAUGUCGUAGUCAGUUAAACACUUAAAUCUUUACUGGCUCGACUUUUCCUUGAAGACUUCCGGUCGUCGGCAUUUUAUCACUUUCAUGUAGUUUCUUCAAAUGCAAAAUGGUGAAAUGAGACUUUUAAACGCGUAUAAAUGAAACCGCUUAUCUAAUCAUACUUUGUCAAAUAAACGAAUUCCAAAAGAAAUCCAAUGGAGCAUCAUCUUCAUUGUACUCCUUCAUCUUUACUAAUACUGUUGUUAUUCAGUUCUAUUCUUGUCACCAGCCAGUUCUCACUUCUCAUUUGGCUGCAGCAAACAAACUUAUAAUUAUUCAAAUGUCUCAUGUAUUGAGAGUGAACGACAAGCUCUUCUUCAAUUCAGAGAUGGGUUGAUAGAUGAAUCAAAUUGUUUGUCAUAUUGGAUAGGAGAGAACUGUUGUUCAUGGGAAAGCAUUGAUUGCUAUCAAACUACUGACCAUCUGGUGAAACUUGAUCUAUACAAUGCAAGCCCGUUACAUUCAAAUGAUAUAUUUAUUUACUGCAAAAAUUGUUUGGGAGGCCAAUUAAGUCCAUUUUUGGUCAAUUUAACCAAUUUGCGACACCUGAAUUGAAGCUGGAAUAAUUUUUCAGGAAUCCAAGUUCCUACGUUCCUUGGAUUGUUGAAAAACUUGAGAUACUUAAAUCUCGCAAAUGCAAUGUUUGAAGGUGAAAUUCUGGGCCAUCUAGGAAAUCUCUCAUGUUUACAAUAUUUAGAACUUGGAGGUUUAACUCCAUUCUUAAUAAUAAUAAUAAUAAAAUAGAGCUUCGAAUUUCUGCAAAAUAUUCAAUUUAUUUGGUGAUUUCUUGCAGGAAACUCCCAUGUUAAUUUAACUGCAAAAGUGAGGAUCAAAACUUAUUUAUGUAGCAACGUAAAUCAGUAAAUAAUUCAUCAAUAUUAUGAUUGCCAAUGCGAUACUUGUCGCCUUCCUGUUACAAGUCUCUUUCCAACGGGGAAAACCUACAGCAUAAAUGUCCAAUUAAUUCAUAAAUCAGAAUUAACUUGUAAUUGCAAUUAUAACCCGUUCGUCUCAAAUUCUGAUUAGUUUCGUCCUAGUCUUCAGAAUCCCAUUGGAUAAACUCUAUCAUUCCCAUCCCUACAAAGUUGUGUGCUUAGAUUUGCUUUCUCAUCUGAAUUACUGGUCAAUCCGUCGUCACAAUGGGAGUUGAUUAGAACGCAAAUGCCUCACCAACCAUAUUUCCAUUGAAGCCUCCAUAAUCCAUUCCCGUUGAAGUGAUGAUUAGCAAUAUCGUUAAUUAGCCCCUUCAGCUUUGUUUAAUCAUAGCUUGGCCCUGUUGCUUUUUAUAUCUUAAGGAGAUGCCUUUUACCAUAUCAUAGUCAAUUAAAUAGUUAAGAGUAAAACUGACAGUGUAUAUAUUAUCGCCGUUGGAUGCAUGAUAUAUAAUUAAAUUUUAAAUUUUAAAUUUAAAUUUACAUUACUUAUCAUUCAUCGAAAGGUUUGUUGACAGGAUAUAAAUAUUCCAUCAGUGUAUAAAAGGUUAAUCUGCUAUCUCUUUUUCUGUUCCUAGUAUUAAUAAGUGUGAAAAAAGAAAAGCUUUAUUUGAAUAUGCUCUCCACAGCCUUCCUUUUUUAGAAAGUUUAGGGUUUCGGUUUUUUGGCCGCAUGGCAGCCGCGCUUGGCCCUCCACCGUUGGGUGGAGGGCACUAGAAUUCUUCCUCCCCCACGUUUCGAAAGAAAGCCUUCUCUGAGUUGUUUGAGCAAGGGUCGCCGGCGGAGAUUGCGAAAGUUCAGGCGUCACUUUCUACACAUCGUGGAGAGCCGGCUGUCGUCUUCAAGGCAGAUGACAUAGCAGCAGUGGCGAAUCCUUUUCGUUAUACUUUGGUUGGGAAGUUCUCCAAAGGUCGCCCCUUGCUGCCAGAUUUGCGAAAAUUUUUUUCCACGCUGGAUUUGAAGGACAUGAUUUCUGUUGGACUCCUGGAUGCCAGGCAUGUAUUGCUGAGAUUCCAUGGUGAAGCAGAUUUUCUUCGGGUCUGGUCUAGGAGCCUGUGGUAUGUGUAUGGCCGCCCCAUGAGGGUGUUCAAAUGGACGUCUAAAUUUCAUGUGGAUAGAGAAUCAUCUCUUGUGCCUGUAUGGUUUCGCUUGCCCAAGCUACUGAUUCAUUUAUUUGCUAAACCUUGUCUGUUUCACAUUGUUUCUUGCUUGGGUAAUCCCCUGUUUGUGGACAAGGCAACGUCUUCUUUCUCUCGACCAAACGUAGCGCGGGUUUGUGUUGAAGUAGAUCUUUUAAAAACUCUUCCAGCAAGGGUCUGGGUUGAUAUGGGAGAUGGGGAUGGUUUUUGGUAGGCUUUGAUCCCUGAGAGUCUUCCUAAGUAUUGCGGUCAUUGCUACCGCCACGGACACGACGGCGUGAAUUGCCAUAUCAAGCACCCUGAUCUGCGUAUGACCAAGGUUCAGCGGCAGGAGGUGGAUGCGAAGUCGUUGGCUGGACAGGGCUCUGAAGAGCGUGGGGCAUUGAUUGGGAUGUCUGUUGGGAUGGUUCAGGUUGGCGCAGCACAGGCCGUGGGGGAAGGGCAGCAGGAUGUGGGGGAGGAGCAGGUGGCUGUUGCUGAGGGGGAGCUUCUCCAAUCACAGCAGCAGCCUGCACGGGAUGUAGCGACGCUGGUAGAGGCUGGGAUUGUUUCUGCGGCUGAUGCAAUCAUUCACCAGUUGGCAGACCAGGUGGCCCACGAACAUGUGGAAGUGCGCAAGGAGGAUAUGCAGGCUGGGGGGUCGGUUUUGUUCGACGAGAAUGAUGCGGUGCUAGUAGAGAGUAUGACUACGGAUGCUGAUUCAGCUAUGGUAGGGGAGUUAGGGGCUGGGGAGGAGAUGGAUGUGAUUGGAACAGGUAGUAAGGUGUCGCGGGAGAGGUAUGGGGAUGAUGCAGAACGGGAAGGUAGGUUGGAGAUUGUCUUACCUCAGAUUGCAGCUGGCGUCGUGCGAGGGAGUGGCCACCAGGUCAGGUUACAGGGAGAGGUCGGUGCUGUGGGAAGAUCUUCCCCUGAUGCUGGUGAAGCACGAGCGGCUAUGUCUGAUGGAGAUCAGAGGCUGGAUUCGAGUAGUGAUGAGGAGACUCUAUCUCCAGUGGGCAAUUUGCCUCCAUGUCACCAGGUGUGUUUCCAGGAGGGGAACUUCGUGUCAGCGGCUGGAGCCCUCGAUAGUUCGGUGGUAGUUCACAAGCCCAAACAAAAAGGUAUUCGUGCGCUUUUUCCAUCUGACAGACAAUUGCGGUCUAAUUUGAUAAACUCACAGAAUUCCUCCCAUGCUCUUUUAAAUGAUUAAGGGUCUUUUUUUGAAUAUUCGGGGCAUCUCUAAAGCUCCAAAAUUGAGAAGGAUUAAACAGUUAAUUAAAAUACAUAAUCUUCAAUUCUUGGCCCUUUGUGAGCCUUGGUUGAAGGUCGACAAAGCUGAACGGUAUAGGUACAAAUUAAACUUUCAUGGCUUGGUGCAUAAUACGGAGGGUUCGGUGUGGGUUUUCUUUAAAGAACCUUUCUCAGGUUUGGUUAUUGGGGAGAGCUCCCAGCAUGUGUCUGUACGGUUGUCCCACGAGCACUUAACGGGCUCUCAACUGGUUGUAUCUAACGUGCGCAGGGUAUACAUAUCAAUUUAACCUCAUUCUAAUCAAGUUUUACAUUUAUAAAUUCCUAAACACCCCACACGCGAUUUAUCGCAAGUAUACGAAUCGUGAGCGAGUAUAGGGUAUUAAGGGUCGAUCCCACAAGAAAGAUUGCAAUUACCGGUACUACUAAAGCUUCUCUAUUAUUUAGACUAUCAAUGAAUUAUAACAAAUUUUACCUACUCAAAUUAUACAAAAUAACAAACAAAAGCUCCUUAGGUUGUGGUAUCCCUAACUACUCAUGCAAGUGCUAUAUUUAGAUCAUUGAGUACUACAUCUAAGCUAGUUAUAGUGUAAUUUCCUUAAACAUGUGAAACCUACUUUCGUAGUGAAUCAACUAUACUCAUAACUAAUCCAUACCUAUUUUCAUGGUUAUGAAAUUAGCUACAAGUUCAUUUCUUCAAUGAAUUUACAUGAAAUGAAUCACUAAAAACCACAUAAGCGCACCUCUACUUUCGUGAGUGUACUCCCUAUGUUUAGCACCUCUUGAACUAGUGUUAAAUCUCAAUUUUCAUUGCAGAAACAACACCUUAGAUAAUCACAAUCAAUGGUACCAGAUUAAUCAUGAUUUAAGAAGCCAAAGUGCUAAAUAACUUGCUCAAAUCAUAGCAGUCAAAUAACCAAAUAAUAAACACUAACAAUCAUAGAAAGUUCAACCAAACCCAAGGCUUAAACUUUAAAAACACAUAUUACACACAAAAUCCAGAACUUGUAUAUUAACUAAACUUGGAAUCAAAUACAAAAGAUAAAGAGUUUGGAAGGAAUACAACCCUUGUCACAUGAGCUUUCUUCCUUGCCUUCUUCAUCCUCCAUCUUCAUCCUAAUCUAGAUAAUAAACAAGAAUGGAUGAACUAUACUACUCUAUACUAAGCUAAACUAAUACUAGGAAGAUGAAAGAGCUACAUUUCUGCAGACUCCAAGCUUCUCCCGUAUGUCUCUCUAUCUCUUACUCUAUCAUCCCCUUUUUCUUUUGCAAUGAAUUUGGCUAUUUAAUGAUGAAAGGUGGUCAAGAAAUGAAGCUUUACACUUUCUCCUUACAGCUGGUAAUGUCUCUCACAUGUCUAGCAUCACAUGUGAGUUGGUGGAGGUGAAAUUGAGUUUUACGCGUAUAAAGCAGCCUUUUCUGACCAGUGAUCCGAGCUGCUACAGUGCCUCGGAUCCGUAUGGAUCCGAGCUCGGAUCCACUAACCCAGAAACAGCCGAGGGUUCGGAUGAAUAGUGGAUCCGAGUGUGGAUCACUUGCUCUGUUUUUGGCCCAACUUCAACCGAUCGUUUCUUGAUGUUAGAGGCUGAACCAGCUCAUGCCUAAAACACGAAAGUUGUAGCCUUUUGAUUUAUCUUUCCAAUGCAUCAAGAAUCACCUCAUUUGGAUCUGUGUAGGCUGAGAUAUGACUGAAAUACCCUUGCCUGCUCCAUGCCUUGUUCCAGUUUCGACCAAUAGCAAUUGACUUUGUACUUCGGCUUUUUGACCUGGAAAACCUUCAAACUGGAUUCGGAUGUCUUCACCAAAGUUGUAGAUCUAUCUCUUAUCUUCAAAUGGGUUCAAGAAUCAUCCCAAUCCGAUCAUUGUAGCUCAAGUUAUAGCCGAAAUACGAAAAUAUGUCAAAACUGUCAAAAUACACAAAAUCCAAGUAAAAAGUGAUAAAAACCUCAUUUAAUCACUUAAAAGCAUUUUUCACCAAUUAUAACCAAAAUGAUUCAUAUUCUUCCAAUAAUAUAACCAAAGUGACUAAAAAUAAUAUAAAAUGUCAUACAAUUAUUACGUAAAUUAGUCACUUAUCAAACUCCCCCACACUUAAAUCAUUGCUUGUCCUCAAGCAAUUCACACAUAAUCAAAUGCAAUGAUUCAAGAGGUGAAAUAAUAUAUGCACUUUGUCCAAUUUAAUUCCUCAAGACUUGGAAAAUAAUCAUUAUACAAUUAUUCAAUUUACACUAAAUACUCAUAAUAUCAAGUAAAGGAAAGAUAAUUAUACCCUAAAUUCAACAAGUUAAACUUAAUCUCUUACCCUAACUUAAUUUUACAAAUAAGCAAAUCACAUAGUCAAUUUAUAGCUUUCCUCCUCCUAUAAUCAUCUUUUUCUCAAAAUUCUAUAACUAAGAGGGAUUUAUUCACACAAAUUUUACUUAAAUAGUGAGAAUGCCUUUUUACGCGAAAAUCGACACUUUUAGGUGAAGAUCUCCGGUUACUCAACAUUUCACUUAUUCAAGUUGCUAUGCAUACUCUUAAUUCAAGUACCUUUUUACGCGAAUGUCGACAUUUGUUGAUGCCAACCCCCGGUUACUCGGUACAUGAAUCAUUGGAGUAGAACAAUUUUUAUUUACUUUCUUUUUUUUUCUUUUUUUUUACUUUUUUUUUCUUUUUCAGAAAUAAAGGACAAUAAAUAGAUAACCCCUCUUAGAAAAUAUAUAAGAAUAAUCAAAGGAGGAAUAUAACCUUUAUCGACUAUAUCAAUCACUUACUUGCAAAAUUAAGUAAAGAGAAGAAAUCUCAUUAAACAUGUAAAAUUAUAGGCAUAAUUUUCCUCACUUUACCAAAUAUACUUUCUAAAAUGUAAAUAUUCUAAUUGCAUAAUAUUAUUUCCAAGUUAAAUGAGGACUAAACCUUCCAAAAUACAUAUAACAUUUCAACAAUUGGAAGAAUAAGGUUGGAUCAAUUAGCCCUUUUUGAAUGAAAAUGCAAAAUUUGAAGAACUUUUGGGCCAUAGUGAAAUAUUGGAAAAGAUUUUAGAAAAAAUUUCACAGAGUUUCUCCUUAUAAAUGGAUGAAAACUCCCUGCCAACAAACCCAAUUUCAAGCAAAUUAUCCACAUGGCAAACAUUUCAAACACAAUUCCAACAUUUCUAAGCAUUUAAAUCCACAAAAUAUCAUCACAUAGGCUUAAAAUGCAAGUUCAAAUAUUUUCCUCCCCCACACUUAAACUUCACAUUGUCCUCAAUGUGAGAAAAGGAAAAUAAAUAAAGAGUAAAAGAAAAUACUGCUCAAUUGAACUUGCGCAAUCCGAAUCCAUGUCCAAGUGAUGAAUUUCCAACUGUAUUUAAGAAAGAGUGGAGAGUUCACUUAUUGCACCCUGAAAAAGACAAAAUAAAAACAAAUAAAUUUCUUAAAAAUAAAAGGUUGCAAUCAACAAAAUCAUUCAAUUUAAGGAAAAAGGAAAAAUGAUCAAGCAUGUGGAACCAUACAAUGUUCAAGGGAUAAAAACAUGAAAUGAGCUAAUCUUUGCUAAUCAAAUAUAUGCAUUAGUAUCCAAAGCAAAGGGAAGCUAAUUUCACACAAAAAAUCCACAAUCAUGAACAAAAUAAGUUCCAUUUAUACAUUUUGUCAUCAAUGAUCAAAUCCCCGCAAGUACAAAAGCAAUCUCAAAAUGGAGGCGAACACACCAAGCCAAAAUAUAAAUGACCUUCUUGAGAAUUCAUGAAAUACUAGAAACCAUUGAACCACAAGGAUUAUAAGCGCAUUUAUGAAUUUCAUCAAUUAAGGUCAUCUUCAAUUCACCUUUUCUUUUAGAAUUACCUAAGAAUUCAAGAAAUUAUUCAACCAAGCCCCUUUUCAUUCAUUAGGUAAUCUAAAUUACUCACAUGAAUAUCAUAAACUCCCACAAAGCUAAUUAAAAUGCUACAUUGGCCACUUAAUAUGCAACUUUGUCACCAAGCCAAAUUAGGCAUAAAUUUAGCAAAAAUUCACCAAAUAAUUACAAACUCAUGAGUUAAACAUCACCAAUCAUCAUCAAUAAGUUCAAUAAGCACAAUGUAAAGCACCCAAACUUCACAAAAUGAAAAAAAUUCGAAAUUGCCCCAAAAAUAAAAAAAAAAUAAAAAUAAAAAUUGGCAAAAUUCAAAUGACAACAUUUGGUGAAGAUUUGUUACCUCAAACUUGUUGGUUGAUGAUUAUGGAUGCAAAUGGUGAAGAAACCCCCAAAAAUUUCACUCCAAUUCGGCCUCAAAUGGAUAGUUCAAAAAUUUGAAACCCUUGUUCUUGCUAAGCUCAAAUCCGAAUUUAGACUUGUUUUUGAAGAAUUUUUAGCUAUGAAAUCAUCUCUCAAGUGAAAAAGGAGUGUUUUGGUAUACUUGGUUUGAAGAUUGGAUGGUGAAAAGAGUGAGUUUAGUGAGUAGUGUGUGUUUUAGGUGUGAGUGCGUGUGUAAGUUGAAGAAGAGAGGAAAAAAAAAUUUCUGAUUGCAGAAGUGGAUCCGAGGCCUCGGAUCCAUAUGGAUCCAAGCUCGGAUCCGUGGCACGAAGUUUUCUCUGAUUGCAGAAGUGGAUCCGAGGCCUUGGAUCCAUAUGGAUCCGAGCUCGGAUCCGUGGAUUCUGCAUUUAUUGCAGAAAUUUCUGCAAUUUUAGUUUGGCCCCAACUUGAAACACACUCUCUAAUUCGUGCUCUACAAUGAAAUUUUGAACAAUUCAACACUUUACACACAUGGAAAGUAACUUAAACAUGAAUCUCAACACCUCAAAUCAAAUCAAAAACAUGUAGAAUCCAAAUUGAGGGUUGAAGUUCUUGGAUCGAAUAGUCCCCUCGACACUUCCAAAGCACAUGAUGGUGCUCAAAUGGUUCAAAAGAGUGCAAAUAGGUCAUGAACACAUUUAAACACUUGAAUGCACUUCAACUUCAUUCAAAUGACUAACUUAACCUCAUAACAUAAAAUUAAGCAUUCUAAAACUCAAAAAAUAAAGGUUAAGCUUCCCUUUUUCGCAUUAGUCUCCACUCCUUAUAAACUCCUUUGCACUUGAAAUAAUUCGCAUGAUUCCUUGUCAUUGCUACCUACAAAACACACAAAAACAUUAAUCAAACAACCAAAACCUACUAAAAACAAGAAAUCGUUGGGUUGCCUCCCAACAAGCGCUUCUUUAUAGUCAUUAGCUUGACUAUAUCACCUCAUUUUUCAAGGAGGUUUAGUUAACGAAUAAUCCACCAUUUUAGGCCGUGGUGGAUCAUUAAAAGGUGGCUUUAUCGCGAAAGCCACAUAAUCUAAUGAUGUGAGAAAUGAAAGUGACUUACCUAUACCAAGUGUUUCAUAGAUAUUACCUUGAAUAUGAACCACUUGAGAACUUACCAAAUGAAAUGCCAUGAAAGUAUCUUGGGCAGGAAUAUCUUUAAAACCUGUACUUUUUAUACACUCCUCAAGAGGGGUGAAAAUUGAGCCACUAAAACUCUCUUCUUGAGGCUCAAAGUUAGUUCCAAAGAUAUUAUCAUGUGAAAUGGAUAUUUGCUCAUUAAAACACUCUUGAGAUUCAUCAUUUUCAUCAAAAUGCAACCCAUUUUCACAUACAACAUUCCCACCAUUCAUGCUAGGAUCAUUUUGCACAUUAUUAGAGGAAAUAACUUCACACAAUGCAUUCAAUUGCUCAUGUAUUCUACCAACGUGAGAAGCUAAUUCAUCUAUUCUUUCCUCAAUCCUAUCAAAACGAUCGAAAGUUGCAUUUGCUAGCUUUUCUAAUGCUAAAUCAAAUUGAUUAGAAAAAUUUUCUACAGCUAGCUCCCAAGAUGCAUUAGAAUCAUUAGCUAAUGGUUCACUUUCUAACUCCCAAGGCAGAGGUGCAUUAGCUAACUUCUCUAUUGCCAACUCCCAAGAUGGUUUUGAUUCAUAUUGGACACUUCCAGGUUGGUAAUCAUAAAAACAUGAAUAAUCACUAUAAGUACAUUGAUCAUCCCAACCAUAAGCAGGAGAAUUGCUCCAAUUAGCACUAUAUUGAUCAAAACAAGGAUUGUAAUGCUCUAAUUCAUCAUAAUAAUCCACAUUUUGUGCUUGCAUACAUGUAUUAGUAGCAUGAUAACUUCCACACAAGUCACAAAUCACAUGAUAAGAAUUAAAAAUAUUAGCAUUCCUCCCUUGCUCAAUUUCAUGCAUAAUUGCGUCCAUUUGAACUUGCAACAUCAUAACAUCAAAUUUAGCCUUUAAGCACCUUAAACCAUCUUCAAAAGACAUACAUUCAGUAAAUUCUUGGUUACCUCUAUUGAAGGAGCUUUGCACUUGGUAACCAUCCAUUGUCAAACCUCCAUUUCUCAAGCAUUGUCCUCCCCUGUUUUCUACUCUCCUUGAUCCCCUAAACAUGCUCUCAAAGUAGCUCAAAAACAAGUUUAGUCAAGAAGAAUAGAUGACUUUAAACAUACAAAAACAAGACAUUAAACAUAAAAGACUCAACAAGACUCAAAACAAACAAGACACUUAACCAACAAAAACAAGUGAAAUUGUCUAAAUUAAUAAAGUUGCUUUUCACACCGAUAUUGCCAAAUCUUCCCCGGCAACGGCGCCAAAAACUUGACGUGCGCAGGGUAUACAUAUCAAUUUAACCUCAUUCUAAUCAAGUUUUACAUUUAUAAAUUCCUAAACACCCCACACGCGAUUUAUCGCAAGUAUACGAAUCGUGAGCGAGUAUAGGGUAUUAAGGGUCGAUCCCACAAGGAAGAUUGCAAUUACCGGUACUACUAAAGCUUCUCUAUUAUUUAGACUAUCAAUGAAUUAUAACAAAUUUUACCUACUCAAAUUAUACAAAAUAACAAAUAAAAGCUCCUUAGGUUGUGGUAUCCCUAACUACUCAUGCAAGUGCUAUAUUUGGAUCAUUGAGUACUACAUCUAGGCUAGUUAUAGUGUAAUUUCCUUAAACAUGUGAAACCUACUUUCGUAGUGAAUCAACUAUACUCAUAACUAAUCCAUACCUAUUUUCAUGGUUAUGAAAUUAGCUACAAGUUCAUUUCUUCAAUGAAAUUACAUGAAAUGAAUCACUAAAAACCACAUAAGUGCACCUCUACUUUCGUGAGUGUACUCCCUAUGUUUAGCACCUCUUGAACUAGUGUUAAAUCUCAAUUUUCAUUGCAGAAACAACACCUUAGAUAAUCACAAUCAAUGGUACCAGAUUAAUCAUGAUUUAAGAAGCCAAAGUGCUAAAUAACUUGCUCAAAUCAUAGCAGUCAAAUAACCAAAUAAUAAACACUAACAAUCAUAGAAAGUUCAACCAAACCCAAGGCUUAAACUUUAAAAACACAUAUUACACACAAAAUCCAGAACUUGUAUAUUAACUAAACUUGGAAUCAAAUACAAAAGAUAAAGAGUUUGGAAGGAAUACAACCCUUGUCACAUGAGCUUUCUUCCUUGCCUUCUUCAUCCUCCAUCUUCAUCCUAAUCUAGAUAAUAAACAAGAAUGGUUGAACUAUACUACUCUAUACUAAGCUAAACUAAUACUAGGAAGAUGAAAGAGCUACAUUUCUGCAGACUCCAAGCUUCUCCCGUAUGUCUCUCUUGCUCUCUUCUUGGAUCCUCUCUCUUGCAAUGAAUUUGGCUAUUUAAUGAUGAAAGGUGGUCAAGAAAUGAAGCUUUACACUUUCUCCUUACAGCUGGUAAUGUCUCUCACAUGUCUAGCAUCACAUGUGAGUUGGUGGAGGUGAAAUUGAGUUUUACGCGUAUAAAGUAGCCUUUUCUGACCAGUGAUCCGAGCUGCUACAGUGCCUCGGAUCCGUAUGGAUCCGAGCUCCGAUCCACUAACCCAGAAACAGCCGAGGGUUCGGAUGAAUAGUGGAUCCGAGUGUGGAUCACUUGCUCUGUUUUUGGCCCAACUUCAACCGAUCGUUUCUUGAUGUUAGAGGCUGAACCAGCUCAUGCCUAAAACACGAAAGUUGUAGCCUUUUGAUUUAUCUUUCCAAUGCAUCAAGAAUCACCUCAUUUGGAUCUGUGUAGGCUGAGAUAUGACUGAAAUACCCUUGCCUGCUCCAUGCCUUGUUCCAGUUUCGACCAAUAGCAAUUGACUUUGUACUUCGGCUUUUUGACCUGGAAAACCUUCAAACUGGAUUCGGAUGUCUUCACCAAAAUUGUAGAUCUAUCUCUUAUCUUCAAAUGGGUUCAAGAAUCAUCCCAAUCCGAUCAUUGUAGCUCAAGUUAUAGCCGAAAUACGAAAAUGUGUCAAAACUGUCAAAAUACACAAAAUCCAAGUAAAAAGUGAUAAAAACCUCAUUUAAUCACUUAAAAGCAUUUUUCACCAAUUAUAACCAAAAUGAUUCAUAUUCUUCCAAUAAUAUAACCAAAGUGACUAAAAAUAAUAUAAAAUGUCAUACAAUUAUUACGUAAAUUAGUCACUUAUCAGUAUCCUUUGUGUAUGCUCGGUGCACGUCUGAGGAGAGGUGUGAGCUCUGGGAUGGUUUAUUGCGGGAUAACCCAGGUUUUGCGGCAUGGGUUGUUGGGGGGAAUUUUAAUGUAAUUCUAGAGGCUGAGGAGAAGAAAGGGGGUCGGGCUUUUGACCCUUUUGAAGCUAUGAAGUUCAAGGAUUUUAUCACUGAGGCUAAUCUCACAGAUAUUGGUUUUUCUGGCGCUCGCUUUACCUGGUGUAACAAUAGGUAGGGCAGGGCAAGAAUUUGGAAGAGAUUGGAUCGGGUUUUGGUGAAUGAGGGAUGUCUGGACUUGGGUUUGGAUUUGGCGGUAUCUCAUCUAGCCAGGGAAUCAUCUGAUCAUGCUCCGCUCCUGAUGUCCGUUUCCACCAGAUUGGAUAAUAAACCGCGUCCGUUUAAGUUUCUUAAUUUUUGGACGGGGCGUGAGGAUUUCUUGCCUAUGGUUUGGGAUUCCUGGGGGCAGCCAUGUCCUGGCUCUCCUCUGCAUGUUCUUUGUUGUAAAUUGAAGCGUCUCAGGAGCGCUAUCCAAGCAUGGAAUAGGGAGGCCUUCGGGGAUAUAUUUCAGACAGUUAGGUAGCAGGAAGAGGAGGUGAGGCUUGCGGAGUUGCGAGUGGAAAGUGAUGAGUCGGUGGACGCUAGGGUGAAUCUACCUAGCUCAAGGUCGUUUGCGGGCUGCCUUGAGAAUGGAGGAGAUGUUUUGGGAACAGAAGGCGCGGGUGAGAUGGUUGAAAGAGGGAGAUCGUAAUACAAAGUUUUUUCAUUCUGUGGUCAAACACAGAACGGCACGGUCGAUCAUUCACAGGAUUAGGAAUGGUAGAGGGGGUAGGCUGAGUCAGAGGAGGAGAUAGGUGCUGAGGCAGUGUGGUAUUUUGAGGAUUUGUUUACGGCUCAACAUGUGGCUUCUUCUUCUACUUUGCUUAAUCAUAUCCCAAAAAUUUUGACAGCUGAGGAGAAUGAUUUGUUGGAGCAGAUUCCCUCUGAGGAGGAGAUUCGUAGUAUGGUAUUUGCGAUGGAUGAGAAUAGUGCUCCGGGCCCGGAUGGAUAUACGGGUAAAUUUUUCACGGCUGCUUGGUCGGUUGUCGGUGAGGAUGUGGUUAGAGCAGUGGGUAGCUUCUUCUGUGGGGCUGAGCUGCCGCGUGCAAUUACAGCGACCUCCAUUGUGCUUAUUCCUAAGAUUGCGCAUCCCCAGGACUUUUCGCAUUUUCGUCCGAUUAGUUUGUGUAACUUUGUUAACAAGCUAAUUUCACGAAUUUUGGAGGAUCGAUUGGCUCAAGUACUUCCUAAGAUCAUUUCCUCGCAGCAGAGUGGUUUUGUUCGGGGGCGGAUCAUAUCAGAUAAUUUCUUGCUUGCGCAGGAGUUGCUAUCUAGUAUGGGUAGAACCUCUAGAAAUGCUGAUGUUGCUCUUAAGCUAGAUAUGUCGAAGGCUUACGAUCGUGUUUCUUGGGUGUUUUUGACUAUGGUCUUGCGUAGAUUUGGGUUUGGAGAGCAAUGGAUUGACAGGGUUUGGAGAUUGGUGUUGAAUAUCUGGUUUUCAGUUUUGGUUAAUGGAGUGAGUGUGGGGUUUUUUAAAUCUACGCGAGGGAUUUGGCAAGGCGAUCCAUUGUCCCCAGGUCUAUUUAUCAUUGGUGCGGAGGUGAUGUCUCGCUCUCUAAAUAAGUUGUUGGAGAAUCGGGAGUUCAAGUGCUUUUCAGUUCCUAGAGGAUGCCCUAAGAUCACUCAUCUUAGCUAUGUUGACGAUGUCCUGGUUUUUUCUGGUUCUUGCUCCUCUUCAUUGAGGUGUGUCAUGCAGACGAUUGGUGGGUAUGAAGCAAUAUCGGGGCUGAAGAUUAAUGUUCAGAAGUGUGGUUUCUUGGCUCAUGAUAAGUUGCCUAGCUAUUGUAUGGCGAGGGUUCGGCGGGCAACGGGUUUUGGCCAUAAAUCUUUUCCUGUGCGGUACUUGGGUUGCCCGCUUUUCACAGGGCGUCGGAAGAGUGUGUAUUUCAUGGAGAUGGUGCAGUCAGUCAUUAAUAAAAUUUCUUCAUGGAGAUCCAGAUUUCUAUCCAGUGGGGGGCGUCUCAUACUCAUAAGGCAUGUUCUCUCUGCGAUUCCGACUCACUUGCUUGCGGCAUCUUGUCCCCCAAGAGGAGUCCUUGCCUUGGCUGAACGGGCCAUGGCCAAUUUUCUUUGGGAGGAGCAGGAGAGGGGAUUCCGGCAUCACUGGAUCAGAUGGGAAGAUUUGUGUGCCGGCUUGGCUCAGGGGGGGAUAGGUAUUCGUUCGUUACUGGAGGUCCAGUCAGCGUUCUCACUCAAACUACGGUGGCGGUUCCGUACAAGUGAUUGUUUAUGGUCGACUUUUAUGCGGGCAAAAUAUUGUCGGCGGAGUCAUCCAUGCAUGGUGGGGGCGGUGCAGGGUAGCUCCUAUGUGUGGCGCCGCAUGCUUCAAAUACGUGAGGUGGCGGAGCAAAAUCUUUGGUGGCUGGUCCGGUCUGGUCAGUGUAACUUUUGGUUUGAUAAUUGGCUGGGAUCUGGUCCUCUAUGUCAGCGACUACCAAGUGUCUCUGACCAUCUGGUAGGUGAUUUCGUGUUGAAUGGACGGUGGAAUCAACAGUUGUUGCGGCGCUGGGUCCCGGAUGAUAUAGUGUCAGAGAUUAUUACCAAAUCUCCCCCAGUGGGGGUCGCAGAUGAUUGUGCGGUGUGGGCUUUGACGGAGUCAGGGGAUUUCUCGAUUGCUUCCUCCUAUGUGCUCCUGGGCAGGCAGAGUCCUUCCUCAUUCAUGUUUAGCAGCGUAUGGCAUUCUUUGAUACCAAUAAAGGUAUCUUUUUUCAUGGUACGGUUGUUGCGGGAUAGAUUGCCUUUGGCGUCUGCGCUAGGACGAUUGCAUGUGUAUGGCCCUUCCAAGUGUUUUUGUUGUUCGGCCCCGCAAUCCGAAUCUUUGGACCAUAUAUUUGGGGAAAGGGAUGUAGCUCAGUUUUUGUGGACAUUUUUUGGGAACGGUGCGGGCGUGACGUACCGAGGGAGUGGGGCGCGGUCACGUCUGGCUGGCUGGUGGUGUCAACCGAAAUGUAGCUCGCGUUUGGCAUCACUUCACAUACUGGUGCCUAGUAUAAUCUGCUGGCAUAUUUGGUUAGCACGAAAUCUUGCGAUUUUUGAAGGGAAGUGCCUGCGUAGGGAGGCCAUGUGUGAGCGCAUCUUCGCGGAUAUUGUGGGGCUUUUUUGCGGGAAGUAUGCAGGGAAGGCUGUGGGACAUGGGUCUUGGAUGGCAUUUUAUUCCAAUAUCUGUGGAUGGAGGCCUCGUUAUUGUCAUAGUCUGGUUCAAUGGGUGCUUCCAACCCAGGGGACUUUCAAGCUAAAUACGGAUGGAUGUUCGUUGGGCAACCCGGGCGUCAGUGAUGGGGGUGGUGUGCUCCGGGAUUCAUCUGGUGUAGUGGUGUUUGGGUUUUCGACUCCGCUUGGGGAGCUGACAUGCAUUCAGGCGGAGAUUAGGUCCUUGUUGGUUGGAGUGCAGCAAUGUUUCCUUAGGGGAUUCUUGCGGAUUCAGGUGGAGGUGGAUUCUCUUGUGUUAGUCAACAUACUGCUCAAGAAAUCAAGGUGUCCGUGGAUAAUUUAGCCGGCGGUAGCUGCCUUAGAGGUGACUCAGGGUGUGGAAUGGUCUGUUAGGCAUUGUUAUCGUGAGGCGAAUCGGGUGGCGGAUGCAUUGGCCAAGGUGGGGGCACGGUCAGAGGAUUUUGUCUUGUAUUCUUCACAAAAAGACUUACCCAGAUUGGCAAGGGGGGCCUUGGGCUUAGAUAGGUCUCAGACUCCCGCUAUUCGUGUUAGAGUUGCUCGCGUGUGAACUCUUUGUAAUUUUGAUGGUUUUUCACAAUAAUAUUUUGGGGGUGGCGUCCCUCCCCGCAUAGGGGUUAGGCCAUUUUAAAAAAAAGUAUAAAAGGUUAAUCCGAUAGUUUUAUCGUUUCCUUGCUAGACUGUUUGACGAGAGAAAUUAACAGUAUAAUCCACGAAACAGAAAAGCUAGCACUUAUAUACAUAAAAAAAUGAAACAGUAGAAGUUGUUUUGUUAGGGAGGGGUGUUCUUUGGGAGGGGGGAGCGGGGAAGUGUUUAAGAAAGUUAGGAAAAAAAAGGGAAAAGAGUAAAAAAAUCUAAUAAAUAAGCAUAAAUUGGAAGAAAGUAAAGGUCAGUUUCUGUUUUAACAAGAACAAUUAAAAUUUUGUUCACGCCCUUUAACGCCACUGAAGGAAGUAAGACAAAAGCAGCUUUGGUAACAGAAAAAAAAAGGGCUAAAUGGAUGAAAUUCAAAGAUUGGAGAUUAAAGAUACUUUAGAUUUAAAAAAAAAGUUAAACUACUAAAUGAACUACUUGCAAAACUUUUUUUUCCCUUCCAAAUUAAUUGAUUUGUCAUUCAUGGUAUUGAAAUUGUUAAAAAUUAAAAAUAUAGUGAAUAACUAUAUUUUUCAAUUGGUUUUGUGAUUUUCUAUCAAGCAUUUUUAUAUUAAAGAAUCUUUUUUACAUUAAUAAUGGAUACUAUCAGGAUUGGAUGCAUGAUAACAAAUAAGAAUUUGAAUUUAAAACUACGUUUUGCAUAUGCAACAAGCAUUAAACUCCGCUAGCUUAUACACUAUCACUGUAUAAAUGAUUAAUUUUAAUUAAUUUAAAUUACAAAUGAGAAUGUUGAAUUCGUGUGAUAACGUGAAUCAUCAAAGGAAUUUUACAACCAGCUGCUAAGGAAUGAACAUUUCCAUUAGUUGAAUGCAGGAAGCGUCUCCAAGGAGAUUUUUUUCACAAAAAUAUCUUGAUUUUCCAUGGCACAUCGGGCCUUCCAUUGGCCAAUGGACUUGCAGUCGCUGGGCACAACAGAUGGUCAAGUUUUCAACGCAAAUUAAUCAUGUUGGUUUCCUAGUCUUCUUGUUUAAAUUUCACUUCAUCAAAAUCUAGAUCGGUAGAUUGAAUGACCAGACUCUUUAAGAUAUUAUCAGCUCAAGUCAAGACAUUAUUAGCUUGCCUUCCAGUAAUCCUCUUAUCAAUUUUUCUCCUACGCAUAAUAUAUUUUGCUACAUGUUCGAUAACAAAUCGGAAACUAAUAUGCCAAUGCAAACAUAAACCAGAAUUAACUUGUAAAUAAAAGCUACUCAUCUCAAAUUUUUAAUUUCAUAAUCUAUCUUUCCAGUUCUUAUCACUCAUUUGUGAUUAUAUUUCCAAUUCAAUCUUUUUUGGAUCGUUUAUGGCUCCCAAUCAAAUAAUGCCUCACCAACUCCAUGAUCCACACCCAUUAAAAGAGUUGACGACAAGAAAAGUAAAAGAAUAUCAUUAUUUAGCCUCUUGAGGUUGUUUAAUCAUAAGAAAAGUAAAAGGUUCUUUUGCAUCUUAAGUAGAUUGCUUUUACUAUAUUGUAGUUAGUUAAGUACUUGAUCGUUUACUGGCUCAACUUUUCCACGAAGACUUCCAGUCGUCUGGGUUUUGUCACCUUCAUACAUAGUUUCUUCCAACGCAGAAUGGUGAAAGCGAUGCUUUUAAACUUGUAUAAAUGAAACCGCUUAUCUGAGCAUACUUUAUCAUAUAGUUCAAUAUCAAAAGAAAUCCAAUGGAGCAUCAUCUUCUUGGCACUUCUUCAUCUUUACUACUAGUAAUGUUCUUAUUCAAUUCUAUUCUCGUCAGCAGCCAUUUUCCGUUUGGCUGCAGCAAACAAGCUUAUACUCAUUCAAAUGUCUCCUGUAUCAAGAGUGAACGACAAGCUCGUCUUCAAUUCAGAGAUGGAUUGGUAGAUGAAUCGAACCGCCUAUCAUCUUGGAUUGGAGAGGACUGUUGUUCAUGGGAAGCCAUUGGUUGCCACAAAAUCACUGGCCAAGUGGUGAAACUUGAGCUACAAAAUACGAAGGCAUUAUAUUCAACUGAUGUAGUAUUUACUUGCUGCAAAAAUUGCUUGGGAGGCCAAUUAAGUCCAUUUUUGGUCAAUUUGACCAAUUUGCGAUACCUGGACCUGAGCAAGAAUAAUUUUUCAUGAAUCCAAGUUCCCACAUUCCUUUGAUUGUUGAAAAACCUGAGAUACUUAAAUCUCGCAAAUGCAGUGUUUGAUGGUGAAAUUCCCGGCCAUCUAGGAAAUCUCUCCUGUUUACAGCAUUUACAACUUGGAGGUGUAUCCUUAACACCAAAUCAAUUGACGACGAAUGAUCUCAGGUGGAUUGUUGGACUCUUUUCUCUAGAAGGCCUAGUUCUGUUCGGGGUGAAUCUCAGUGCCGUUGAAGAUGGGUUAAAAGCAAUUAACAUGCUUCCUUCACUAACAAGGCUCAAAUUAUCUGGUUUUGAACUUUUCAUCGAUCCUUACCUUUCACAGGUCAAUUUCACAUCUCUUUCUUCCAUUAAACUCGGUGAAAAUAGUUUCAACAACUACAUGGUCCCUCCUUGGCUCCAUAAUCUUACUGGUGUCCAUGAUCUUGAUCUUAGCUCUAAUAAUCUUUCUAGUCCAAUUCAUGGCCUUUUUGAACAAAUGACCUCUCUAGUUGAUCUUGAUCUAGCAGUAAACCGCUUUGAUGCAUCAACGUUGGAGCCACUUUGCAAUGUAAGCAGUCUUAAUUAUUUGGAUCCGAGUUUAAAUGAUAUGCAAGGGUCAAUACCAAGUGAAAUAGGCCAACUUUCGAAGCUGCAAGAAUUGUAUAUUUCUUCCAACUCAUUAACUGGUGUAUUAUCUGAAGACCAUUUUGCAAAACUCGGAGAGCUAAAGUUAUUGGACCUAUCUGGAAACUUAUUUGCUUUGACUGUGAGCUCCUGGUGGGUUCCUCCUUUUCAACUCCGAGAAAUUAUGAUGUCAUCCAUCAAAGUAGGCCCCCUAUUUCCUGCGUGGCUGCGAACGUAAAAGGAGGUUCAAUGGUUAGAGAUGAAGAAUGCGAGUAUUUUGGAUAGCAUGCCCAGCUGGUUUGGAGUGCUUUGUUAUGAUAUUGGAUUAGUAGAUUUUUCGGACAACAACCUGACUUGGAAUCCGUUGGAGUUCAAACAAAUGAAGAAGAGUCCUCCUGAUGGUAAUUCGCCAAGCAUAGCUCUAAAGUCCAACAAAUUGGAUGGAUCUCUCAAAUCGUUUCCGUCUUAUAUUUACGAAUUAGAUCUUUCACAAAAUUUUCUUACUGGACAUAUUCCAUUGCCUGAUGUUGGUCAAACUGUUGCAUCUACUCGUUUUCUCACACUCAGUGAUAAUCAUUUCACAAGUAGUAUCCCGGAAGACUUGUGCAAGUUGGAAAAUUUAGAACAUCUGGAUCUAUCCAACAAUUUCCUGUCCGGAAGAGUUCCUCUGUGUUUGGGAAAUUUGCCAGACUUGUGGGUCCUAAACUUGGCUAAUAACAGUCUAUGCGGUCAAAUUCCAAGUUCACAGGGCAACUUGGGGCAACUUUGGAUUCUGCAUUUGAGUCGAAAUAAAUUCGUUGGGAAGCUCCCAUCCUCAAUGCGGAGCCUGAGAAAUUUACAAAUUCUUGAUCUCGGUGACAAUGGACUCACAGAUAUUAUACCAAUAUGGAUUGGGGAAAGGUUAUCAAAAUUAAAGUUUCUAAGAUUUCAGUCAAAUAACUUCCAUGGAGUCAUUUCUGAUGAGCUCUGCCUACUCUCAAGUCUUCAGGUGCUGAACCUAGCGCAUAAUAAUUUAACAGGAUCUAUUCCUCAUUCUUUUAUCAACUUCUCAAUGAUGGUAUCAAGUGAACCAGGAACUGAUCUCUGGGUAUUUAGCGAUUUCACCUGGCUUCAAAACUUCAAGGGAGGAGGAGAACUUGGGUACUCCUCUCGGAACCUUUUGCGCAUUAAAUCCAUAAGCCUCUCAACAAAUAAUUUAGUGGGUGAGAUCCCUGAUGGGAUAAUGGAUCUGGUUGAUUUGCUAACUUUGAACCUUUCACGUAAUCAUUUCACUGGAUAAUCCCCGAGAAGAUUGACAACUUGAAGCAACUUGAGUCACUUGAUCUAUCAAUGAAUGAACUCUUUGGUGCAAUCCCUGAAAGCUUAUCUGCUUUAAACUGGUUGAACUUCCUGAAUUUGUCACACAGUAAGCUAUCAGGGCCAAUACCAUCAGGGAAUCAAAUUCAGACCUUAACCGAUCCAUCUAUCUAUGAAGGAAACAGUGGACUCUGUGGCGAGCCACUCCCAAAUGACUGCCUGGAACAUAAAUUGCCUACGAAAAAUGGGCAUAUUCAUGAUGAUAUAGGCCAUGGCGAGUCUCAUUGGUCUUGGUUUUAUGCUGGUAUAGGACCGGAUUAUGCUGUCGGGCUAUUGGGAGUUUUGGGAAUCCUUCAGUUCAAGAAGUCAUGGCGCUAUGCAUACUUCAGGUUUCUGGAAAAUGCCUAUGACAAAAUCUGCGUAAUGAUUGCAUUGAAGGCCAAUCAGCUGAGGAGGAAUUUCCAUUGAGUAAUGCCCUGUAAAAGCACAUUUAUUUUGUUUUUCAUAUCACGCAGCAGCAGCAUACUCUCCUUGAGAAUUUACAGAACUAUGGUAAUUUGUAAUUUGUUCUCCAAACGUUUCUAAAGAUUUGUUUUAUGCGUCCCAACUUGACCGAUUCUUAUUCAAUAAGAAAAUGAUAGCUUAAUAGUUUUCUAUUCUUUUUUUUUUCCCCAAGACUAAGAAGCUCAAUAAGUUAUAAUUAUUUUUCUGUUCACAUUGGAAUGCAUUAAAUAUUCUAUAUCGAGCAAUUUAUAGGUUGUUUAUCUUGCUUACUGAUCGAAUUUUUGUGUCAACAGAUUUAAACACUUUAGAAGAAUUCUAUACUUGUUUAUGCUAAUAAUUGAUUUAGUUGUUUAAUUUCUAAUUGAUAUACAUUCUAGCUUUUCUGCCAACAACUCUUAUGAAUUACCAACUACUGAUUUUCAGGUAUUACAUUAAUUCUACCCACCUAAGUUUCACUCUCGAAACUUAAUUUGACCAGAUUAGCAUAAAAACAAACUGCACUUCCAAUUAUAUCACUUUACAUGAACAAAUAUUAAUUAAACUACUAGUAUUUAGGCCACACACCAAUGUGUGUACACCUAAUAAAAAACAUAUUAUUAAAAUUUUGAGUAAAUUUUUUGAAAUCAUUUCAAAGGAAUUGGUUUUACAUUUUGACAAUGGGUAUUGGAAAAUUCACGAAAAUAAGUGUACAAAUAGAUAGUUGUUUAGCAGUAAUCCAGAACCAUAAUCGAUAGUUGAUUACAUUGGGUAGCUAGCAAGGUAAGUUAAAAAAUAAUAUAAAAUGACAAAAUUUUAUUUAUACCAAAAGCCCUCUCCCCCUUUAUAUAUUUACAACAAAAGCUUUCUCCACCUUUACAUAGAGCAUGGAUAUUAUUUACUCAAGGACAAUUCAUGUCCCCCCCCUCCUUCCCCUCCUCGCCUUUUUGGUCAAUCGUUAACUCCUAUUACUACUCCUACUCUAACCAAUAUUAGGGAAUGAUCCAACUGGACCAAUGGGGCUGGACAAAGAAGAUCUCACCUGUAUAGCAAAGAGGUUCACUAGACCAAAGAAGGGUUGCUUCAUGUUCAAAUCUGCUAUGCUUUUUACGAGGCCAUAGAAAUUUCAAACACCUGAUGCCCAUUACGUUUCCCUUGCGUCAACAUUAAUCCAAACAUCAAGAAGUAAUUCCACUUAAUUAACCUUAUUUUCAUUUGAACUUUGGUUAUUUCUAAAGUGAUAAUCAUGUCUUACUAUUCAUUAAAGUAAUCUACUAUCAAUUAAAACUCCACUAGUAAAUUCCGUGCUCUCAUUUUCUGAUUCUCGGUUGCACCCCGAAUUUACUUCAUAGUAUAUGCCAUCACAGUGGAUCUAGAAAUAUUAUAACAUAACCGCCUAGAAAUUUCUUCAAGAUAUAACCCAUUUCAAUAACUUCACCUACUCAUGAUUUUCAAUCUAGAAUUACCUGUAAUUUUAAGAUUCAAAUCAAGUGAUCAUAAGCCAUGUGAGAAAAACUAAUGAACAUAAAUUAAAUUUCUAACUCAUUGAUCGCCAUAAAUGGUCCUAUUAGAAACUAAUUCUUGCAAUCAAUAAUUGGUAGACAUGAAAUAAAAAUGUGUCCUAGGCCUUCUGAUAUUCUAAACAAACAUGUAUGGGCAGAAGGGGUUUCAUGAACAUCCUCCCAAUGAGGAAUGUUAUAUGAACAGAUCCCAAUCACGAAUUAAAGAUUUGUGAAAAAAGUGAGAAACUCUAAAAAACUGGGCAAUUCCAAUAAAGUUUGGUAAAAUUUGAUAAGAGAAUGAGAUAUUACUUAGGCCCUGUUUGGCAAAUAAUUCCCAAUAAAUGUUUGAGUGAAACUUAGGCAUCGUUUGGCGAAUGAGUUUGGAAGUGUUAGAAUCGAGUCACAAUGAGGACCGGUCACUCAGCACAUGCUUUGUUGUUCCUCGAAAAUCGUUAUCCAUAUUAAAGUUCGAAAAACAAUUUAAUCAAAUCGAACGGAGUACCAUUCAUCCAUUUUUUUGGUCUUUACUUUAACAGCACAACUUAGGGACAUUGAGUUUCGGCAAAUUCUUUUGUCAAAAAUGGCCCAAGUAUGAUUUUUAUUUGAAAACUACAAUAUUGUUGGUCUCUUAGCUUUUUAAAUUGUCUAAAAUAAUGUCAUAUUUCUACUCUAGAAUAUUAAUUUAGUCUUUCAGUUGUCAACUGUUGCACUGAAUUUGCACUUAUGGAGGAGUGGCAGGGGAGAGAGGAGGGGAGGAGAGGGAAGGGGAAGGAGAGGCAGGUCAUCUUUAUCUUUAAAUAAUCUAAAGGAGCAGGUGAUCUUUAAAUAAUAAAAACUAAAGGGCAUCUACCCUUUACACAUGGUUUAGACAAAAUAAUAAUAAUUUAAGAAGGGAGAAAAAAUAUAAAAUUUAAGAAGAAGAGAAAAGGCACACGUGAGAUGCACAAGUUGGUCACAAGUUCGAUGAUGCUGUUGGACGUUCAAAAAGAAUUAAAGAUCAAGCGCAAACGUGUUAGUACUGUCUUAUGAAUUGGUUUAACAUUAAUUUGCCUGUAACCUCCUAUAUAACUCGCCAAACUAAGCAUAAAUGCAUGGGGCCCAAGCACUAAUUAAUUGAGCCAAGAUUAUUUUCCACUUUGUGUGACGACAAAGGACAUCUUGGUGUCGUCGGUUUUGCCAAUGUCUCGUCUGUAUCACCUGUUUACCUCCAUUCAUAUAUAGUUGCCAUUGUGUUCGUUCUAUGUAUCCUGUUGUUUGGUUUAAGAUUUCUCCACUCGAGGUGGGAUUUGGGAUCUUUUUGUUUGGAAGGAAAAUAUUUUCCAAAAAAUGUUUCCCUGAUUUUCUAUUGUUUGAUUGGGUUAUUGCUUGCGAAAUUUUUUUAUAUAAAUGAAUUGAAAUUAUUUUUCAUGUCCGACUCGGAAGGCUAUCCAUUCAAGCUCCCUUCCUUGCUGUUUUUUAUCUCUAUUUUUCUUUGUCCUGGUCUUUCUUUCUCUUAGAUACAAGGACCAUGCGCACGUAUGGGGAGAUCUAGACUUGAAAUUGAAAGGGGCUAUAGGAAGAUCGUGAAGGAUGCUAGAGAAAGUUUGAUGUAUGAAAAUGAAAUGAACUUGCUAAUCUUGUGCUAAUAUGCAGUAAAUUUGAGGCAUGUUUGUACGAUGGUCAUUAACUAUUACCGUUUGGAUUGCUAUUUUCUAAAGUUUUUAUCCAAAACUUGUUGGACUUGUGUGGGCCAGCCUAUUUGUGGGCCAACCUAAAACACAAGUGGCUAAGACUCGAGGGCUUCAUGUGACAGAAAAUUCUGGCAGCUGCAAGAAAGUACUUUCAUUUUUUGUGUGAAGAAUUAUAGCCGCACAAGAGAGGAGAGAAACGAAGAGAGAGAAAGCGUGAGAGCUACAGAGAGAAAAUUCUUUGCAACUUUGAAGCCUCAGUUGGAAGGUGGUUUGAAAUCCGAUUGAGAUGAAAUUUUAAACACACGAUCCUCUCGUCAAUCUCUACUCAUCUACUGGUUCAAAUUUCAUAUUUCCUGUUCGUUUGGUAAUACCUUUCCAAACUCACUUCUUUGAUAGUGAUAAUUUUUGGGGGUGAUUUUAUAGCAGAUUGGCUUGGUUGGUAUUGGUGAUAUUAUUGUCAUUCGAAUAUUUCGGGUAGACCUAUAUAUUCCCAUUAUUGUGAUGGUGAAGAUUUUGACUGGACUAGAUCCCGUGAUUUUUUCCAAUUUGAAUUUUUCACGUAAAAAUUUGGAUGUCCUAUGCCUUUUAUUUUUCUUGCAUUUUAUUAUCACUACUGGUAUUAUUAUUUUGUGAUUUGGUUUGUUACUAUUUUAACUGGUACUUGGGAAAAGAGAAAUUUGUCCUGGGCUAACUCUGAUAUUAUGUGUCUGUACCAGUACCCCUUUCCCAACAAGUGGUAUCAGAGCAGUCAGGUUAGGCUGCUCAUUUGUACUAGUUAAAAAGGAAGGAUUUGGAUAAUGGUUGUAUGAUAAAAUUGAAUGCUAUUAAUUAUUCGAUUUGAAAACCUAGAAUGGAAAACUACCUGUAUUGUAGAGAUUUGUUUGAAUCUGUUCUAGGGAAUAAAAGUAGACCAAGUGAUAUGAGUGAUGAAAAAUGGGUUGUUAUGCACAGAAAAACUGUUGGUAACAUUAGAAAAUAGAUUGGUCAGAGUAUUUUUCAACAUUUUGCUAAUGACACCAGAACUGAUAUAUUAUGAAAAAAGCUUGAGAGCAUGUAUGAACGAAAGAUUGGUUUGAACAAGGCUAGUUGUCUGAAGCAGAUUACUCGGAUGAGAUAUAAAGAUGGGGAAGAUAUAUGAUUGAACACCUGAGUAAUUUUCAGAGAUUGAUAAAACCAGGCAACUACAUUAAAUUUGAAUUUGGAUGAUGAAGUGCAGGCUCUAUUAUUAUUUAGUUCACUACCGGAGAGUUGGGAAACCAUGGUGAUCUCCGUCAGCAAUUCAGCCCCGAAUGGUGUGUUGACUAUGGCUAUUGCAAAAGAGGCCGUGAUGAAUAAAGAUUCAGGAGAAAGGAACAAGGAAUUGUCUAUGAGUCCCAGGCCCUGGUGACAGAAAAGAAAGAAAGAAAAGAGAAAAACAAAAGUAGAAGACCCCAUAACAAAAAUGACAAAACCAGAGGUAGGUUUGAAUCUCGAAAAAAUAUUGUAUGCUAUUAUUGUAAAAAGAAUGGACAUUAUAUGAAGGAGUGCAGAAUCUUAAAAUGGGAACAAGCUGAGAAAAAGGGUAAGAAGGAAAAAGGUGAUGAAAAGACUACAGUAGUUGUGGCAGCUCAUGAUGAUAUGUUUGUAUUCUGUGAUGAUGGUCAGGUGAAUAUUAUUCAUUAUGACAGUGAUUGGGUAGUUGAUUCGGGUGCAUUCUACCAUGUUACUCCUCACAGGCAUUUCUUCUCAACCUACACCGAGGAGAUUUUGAAUAUGUUAGGAUGAAAAAUGAGGUCUCAUGCAAAGUUGUUGGCAUGGGAGACAUAUAUUUGGAUACAGAUACCGGGUGCCAGUUGAUAUUCGUCUUAAUCUUAUUUCUACAGGAAAACUUGACAAUGAGGGUUACCGUAGUUUGCAAGGUGGAGGCAAAUGGAAACUCAGCAAAAAAAAAUCUCAUUGUUGCUAGAGGAAAGAAGCAGAUUACCCUCUACUUGAUGCAAGCCAAGUUAGGGAAGGGAGAAGUGAAUGCAGUUCAUGAUUCAUCAAUUGACCUUUGGUAUAGGCGACUUGGGCACAUGGGUGAAAAAGGAAUUCAGACACUUGUUCGCAAAUACCUCCUAUCUGAAGUUAGAGGUAAUGCACUUAAAUCUUGUAUUGACUGCAUUUAUGGAAAACAAUACAGAGUUGCAUUUCAAAAUUUUUCUCUAUCUAGAAAAUUGAAUCCGAUAGAAUUGGUGCACACUGAUGUUUGCUAUAUGAAAGAUAAGUCUUUUGAUGGUACUGUUUAUUUUAUAACUUUUAUUGAUGACUUUGGUAGAAAGGUUUGGUGUUUUGUUUUGAAAUCCAGAUAUCAGGUUUUGGAUGUAUUUAAAGAUUUUCAUAGCAAAGUUGAAAGAGAAACUGAUAAGCAGUUAAAGAGUGUAUGUGCUGAUAAUGGUGGUGAGUACAGAGGACCAUUUCAAAUCUAUUGCAAGUCCCGCAGAAUCAGAAAUUUCCCGAUAAACUAUUACGUGAUUGAAGAGCAGAAAUUUUCAUUCCUUAACUUUUGGAACUUUUGAUCUUAAAAACUAGGUACCAAAACCUUAGUUGCUUUCUCUAGAUUCUCUCUUUCUAUUGGCAAUUAUUUUUACUCUCUCAAAAGUUUGAUUUCCAAUAAUUCUCCUCUAUUCUUCAUAUUUACAUUGCAUUUUCCUAUGUUUCUUUACAUUCCAUACUAUGAGAAUCUUAUUGAUUUUUAUUUACAAUCGAUUAUAAGAAUGAUACGAUGUGAAAUAAUAAUUUUUUCUGUUCGCAUUAGACUGAAUUAAAUAUUCUAUAUCGAGCAAUUUAUAGGUUGUUUAUCUUGCUUACAGAUCUAAUUUUUGCGUCAACAGAUUGAAACACUUUAGAAGAAUUCUAUACUUGUUUUUGCUAAUAAUUGAUUUAGUUGUUUAAUUUCUAAUUGAUAUACAUUCUAGCUUUUCUGCCAACAACUCUUAUGAAUUACCAACUAAUGAUUUUCAGGUAUUACAUUAAUUCUACUCACCUAAGUUUCACUCUCAAAACUCAAUUUGACCAGAUUAGCAUAAAAUCAAACUGCCCUUCCAAUUAUAUCACUUUACAUGAACAAGUAUUAAUUAAACUACUAGUAUUUAGGGCACACACCAAUGUGUGCACACCUAAUAAAAAAUAUAUGAUUAAAAUUUUAAGUAAAUAUGUUGAAAUCAUUUCAAAGGAAUUGGUUUUAUAUUUUUGACAAUGGGUAUUGGAAAAUUCACGAAAAUAAGUGUACAAAUAGAUAGUUAUUUAGCAGUAAUCCAUAACCAUAAUCGAUAGUUGAUUACAUUGGGUAGCUAGCAAGGUAAGUUAAAAAAUAAUAUAAAAUGACAAAAUUUUAUUUAUACCAAAAGCCCUCUCCCCCUUUAUAUAUUUACAACAAAAACCUUCUCCACCUUUACAUGGAGCAUGGAUAUUAUUUACUUAAGGACAAUUCAUGUCCCCCCCCUCCUUCCCCUCCUCGCCUUUUUGGUCAAUCGUUAACUCCUACUACUACUCCUACUCUAACCAAUAUUAGGGAAUGAUCCAACUGGACCAAUGGGGCUCCAAUGGGGCUGGACAAAGAAGAUCUCACCUGUCUAUCAAAGAGGUUCACUAGACCAAAGAAGGGUUGCUUCAUGUUCAAAUCUGCUAUUCUUUUUACAAGGCCAUAGAAAUUUCAAACACCUGAUGCCCAUUACGUUUCCCUUGCGUCAACAUUAAUCCAAACAUCAAGAAGUAAUUCCACUUAAUUAACCUUAUUUUCAUUUGAACUUUGGUUAUUUCUAAAGUGAUAAUCAUGUCUUACUAUUCAUUAAAGUGAUCUACUAUCAAUUAAAACUCCACUAGUAAAUUCUGUGCUCUCAUUUUCUGAUUUGCCAGAUUCUCAGUUGCACCUCGAAUUUACUUCAUACUAUAUGCCAUCACAGUGGAUCUAGAAUUAUUAUAAUAUAACCGCCUAGAAAUUUCUUCAAGAUAUAACCCAUUUCAAUAACUUCACCUACUCAUGAUUUUCAAUCUAGAAUUACCUGUAAUUUUAAGAUUCAAAUCAAGUGAUCAUAAGCCAUGUGAGAAAAACUAAUGAACAUAAAUUAAUUUUCUAACUCAUUGAUCGCCAUAAAUGGUCCUAUUAGAAACUAAUUCUUGCAAUCAAUAAUUGGUAGACAUGAAAUAAAAAUGUGUCAUAGGCCUCCUGAUCUUCUAAACAAACAUGUAAGGGCAGAAGGGGUUUCAUGAACAUCCUCCCAAUGAGGAAUGUUAUAUGAACAGAUCCCAAUCACGAAUUAAAGAUUUGUGAAAAAAAGUGAGAAACUCUAAAAAACUGGGCAAUUCCAAUAAAGUUUGGUAAAAUUUGAUAAGAGAAUGAGAUAUUACUUAGGCCCUGUUUGGCAAAUAAUUCCCAAUAAAUGUUUGAGUGAAACUUAGGCAUCGUUUGGCGAAUGAGUUUUUUUGGCGUUUGUUUAAAAUUUUACUAUAACUUACUGUAAAAAUUGUAGGAAAAAUUUUUAAAAUGAAAAACUUUUUCUUUUCUUUUUCUUUCUUUCUUUCUUUUUUCUUUUCUUUCCUUUCUUCUUCCUCUCCCUUCCCCGUCCCCAGCUACCUCUCCCUUCCAGUUGGAACAAGAAUUUUUUUUUUGCUCUCUUCUCUCUCCCGUCCCUUUUCUCCCUUUUCCCGGGUGCUUUCUAGUCGUGUGACCAGAUCGGGCAAAGGGGUAAGGGAAGGAUGGUGGGAGAGGGAAAUGGGGGAGAGAGGUGGAGAGGAAGAGGGGAUGAGAGGGGGAGAGGAGAGAGAGAGGAAGAAGAGAGAGAGAGAAAAAAAAAACAAAAGAGGUGGCCUUCGGCUCCAAUUGCGGUGGAAGGAGAAAUGAGGAAGAAAAUUUUUUUUGUUUGUUUUGGAUAUUUUGAAGUAUAUAGUUUAAAAUUUUUGAGGAGUUUUUGAGAUUACUGUAGUUAAAGUUGUUAAAAUUUUGGUAGGAAACAAACUUAGCCAAAAAUUCGUUUGCCUAACAGGCCAUUAGUUCUAGGAAUGCUUUGAAAAUCCUUGUUAGAGGGAUAGUGAAAUUCUUGUUAUCCAUUGAUAGGGUACUUUUAGUUGGUACAAUUGCUUAUAUUUUCCUUUUUGUUUACACCAGAUAUCACCCUAUUUGACUGGUUUUACCCACAAUUGGCAUUUUUGCAUUGAUUUCAGAAAUUUGAGCGAAAAACGCUUAAAUGAAGGAUUCCUAAUAGUUUGCACAUGGGCACGCCUAAGUUCAAGGUUCAAAGCCAGAAAAUUGAGCGGGAUUUCAGAUAGUUUCCCAAUCCAAGUCAAAUUAAAAAAAAUUGGCAGCUGCUAAAGUUUCCUAUUUCUUUGCAGUCCACGUCAGUCUUGAGCAAUUGGAAAGCUCUUAGGACAUUGAUUUGUAAUAGGAACCCUUUUUAGGAGUUUGAUUGGUAUGAGGGGACCAAUCAAUUAAGAAGUCGACUAGGGAGAAUUCGGAGGGGGAAUGCUUUUUGCUUGAGAAAAACAUAGUUGUUCUUUUUUUUUUCUUUUUGACCAAAUUGGAGAAAAAAAAACAAUUGUAAGCUUCGAACAGAUUAUCUUUUGGCAUGGCUUGUUCUCCCUUGAUGGAGAACUAAUCUCGUAUCUCUAGUCAAGGAACACUGAGGAUUUGGUUCAACUAUCACUGUGAGAUAUAAUUGAUUUUAUUUAUCUCCUCUAUUCAUUGGUAUUUGUAAGUUUUCUACUUUAUAGAGUAUGAUUAUUGUGUGUGAUUAAAUAGGUGCGCAACAUUUAAUUAUACACGUAAUCUAUUUGCUAAUUGUAAUAGUCUAAUCCGUAAUUGUUUGACUGCUCUAGUCUUGAUAGCAACUGGCAUAAUUGAGUUUGUGUCGGGAAAAACGUACAGUCUAAUUUAAAUAAACUCUCGUAGCGUGUUUAUUGAUUAGAGUAGGGUUUCUCUAGUUUCUAAUGCAAUUGAGGAACUAAAUCCUACGGUCGCACCUAGGGUUAUUCCUAAAUUAGAGAAAUAGUCAAUGGUUGUACCUUAACUAUCGAAACAGUAAGGAGAAACUGAUUGUCAGAUCGUAUCGGCAGUUAAAAACCUGUUUACUAAUGAAUGUUGGGAUUAUAAUUGCAUCAAUGAUCAGUACCUGAACCACCUCUAAAGUAUAACCAUGACUAGAGCUUUUUCCCAUUAAUUGUCUCCCCCAAUCUCUUUUGCAUACUUUAUUACCUUAGUGAUAUUCCACUAGUUUUUAAUUCUUGACAAUAAAAACCCCCUCCUCUUUGACUUGAAAAAAGAGCAAAUAAUCCACAAUCCCUAUUGAUUCGAUCCUGCUCACCGUUGUAUACAAAAUUCAUUCUUUUGUUGAGUAAGUUUUUAUUGCACAGGCUCGAUACCUGUCAUCCAUUAAUAUCUAAGGUCAUGUUAUUCAAUAAUGGUAAUUGUGAAAAUUUUUUUUUGCUCUUUUUUAAUUCAAGCUAUUAUUCAAAUUAUAGUAAUUUAUUGUUGAAUUUGGAUUAUUUAUUGUUGAAUUUGGCUAGGUAUAAAGUUAAUUGAAGAUGCAUAAAAGUUUCAUAAAUAAGGCAGCCUGUUUCGACUUUGUUUUCGAUUAUGUUUGUGAACUUUAAUGACACAAAGGGCAAGCUACUCCUACCACUGCUACUUGUUUUGCAUUUUGGGGACGACUACCGCAUCUCUCGCUGGAGUUGAUACCGGCAUAGCAAAAUAGUAAUCCAAUAUGCAAUUAACGAAUUUCUUAUGUUUAGUUAAGAAGAAAGCGGAAGAAAACAAGAAUAUGAGAACAGAUGGAAAUUAAUGUAAAACAAAAGGAAUAAAAGGCAAAUUACACUUUAUCUCCAAUGAUUUAGUAUUUUUAUACAUAACUCUCGUAUAGUUUUAAAAGUUAUAUAUAACCCUCUCAUAACUUGAAUUAAAGUGUCAAAAUGACGGAAAUGAUCAUUCGUAAAAGAACCUAUGAAAAUGUCGAAAUUAUCCUUGUUUAAAAACUCAAAUGGUUGAAGUGAUCAACAUGUAUAAACAUAAUAUGCAUGACACUCUAACCCGUAUAAUUUUAUAUGUUACUAUAUAACUCUUUUAUGAUUUAAUGCUUUACUAUAUAACUCCCUUAUUGUUUUCACUAUAUAUACAUAACUCGCUUGUAGUCAAUAAAUAAUUUUCAACUUUAUAGAGGGGCAUUUUUUGUAUUUUAAUUGACUCCGUCAUAGAUUGCAAAUUUCGUUACUUUGAUACUUUAAUUCAAACCAUGAACAGAUUAUAUAUAAUUUUUAAAAUUAUGAGAAGAUUAUGUAUAAAAAAAUAUUAAACUAUAGGGGGAUAAAGUAUAAUUUACCCGUAUAUAUGCAGCGUCCCGCCCCUCUCCUCUCACUGGAUUGGGAGGACUGUAGUAUGAAAGGCUGCAUGCAUGCAACGUCCAGCCUCUCUACAAGCAUUUAGAACCAUAUAGAGAUGAUGCUUUAUCUGAGCUUACUUUAUCAGACGACCAAUGCCAAAGAAAUUGGAUACGUAUCUCCUUAAUACUACUACUCCAUCAUUAUUAGCUAGUGUUAUUAUUGAUUUGGUAGUAGUAUUCCUGUCACUUGGCUGCAUUAAAUAAGCUCAUUAAUCAAUUACCCUGAUUGUUUAUUCCAACAAAUUGCCGAAUAAUGAUAUUAAUUAAUACUUACUCCAUGAAGUAUGUAACUAAUGCUGCUGCAGCUUAAGGGAUUCAGAUUUUCUGUAAUCACAGCAGUGUCAACAGCGUACACUUAGUUGUGGCUUGAAAUUAAAAAGAUAGAUUGAAUAGAUGACACAUGUUUGUUUUUCAUCGAGUGAUAAAAUUUAUUAUGUAUUCUGUAGUUAUUGUUGCAGUAUCUAUCUACAUAUUUGGUCUUUAACAUUUAAUAUUUACGUCCACGAAGACUUGUUGUAAUGAUUUCCACGAAGACUUCCAAGUCAUCGUGCCUGUUUCAAGCCACCGUGGGCCAUCGUUCCGAUCAAUGGAGGUUCUUGCGUGAAUAUGUUUGUGUGGGAGAACGAAUAUGUAUCUAAUGAUACACAGAACAACUGAAAGAAAAAUGCUUAUAACAUUUGUUUUGCUGAAGAACAGACAGAAAUUCAAAAUGAAGCACGUACGAUUGAGCUUCAUGCGACAAUUUUAUUUAAUUUGGGCAUGGAUGACCAACCCAUUGUUUAUUUAUUUAUCAUUUUCGUCUCCAGGAUUAACAACCAGGAGUACAUUUGAUUUCAUCCCUCCUUCGAUAGAUAGCGAUCGAGAGGAAACUGAUCAGACAGCACCAGCAUAGGACCGUAGCAUGGACUUGAAAGUUACCUCGUGAUGAAGGUAGGGGAAGACCAUGAUGCCUCCAUAAACAGAAGAGUUCUUCAGAUAGGGAAGAACGUCAUCAACUAGCACAUUAGGUGGGAUGUAACCGCCCUCAGGUGCGAUAUCCUUGGAUAUAGGUAUUCCCAGGAACAAUAGAUUAACGCCUCUAUAAUUAGACCACCUGUCCCAACUCCGGAAGAGGAGACUGGUAUCCUUUGGAGGCCUAAUCUGACAAGAUGGGUUAUCGAAAAAUUCCACCCGCACCUGAUCAACGAGUCCAGUUUUGAUAGUUGCGUCAAGAGCAGGGUCAGGAAUAGGACAUUCCGCCUCUACAGCUAAGAUCACAUUUGGGUAUCCCUUAAGUGCCCGAGCAAGAUCAUCCAAGUAAUUCGUGUUUCCGCUGUGGAUGUGAAUCUCUACGCCAUCUAAAACAGCUUUGCCGAAUGGUCGGUCACUUGACUGACCGCCUAAGUAAGUGUUCCAGAUAUAGGCUGCCACUUCUUCUGCAUCUUCGACGGAAGAAAGCCUCGGAGGUCCUGCGAGAGAAAUAAAGACUUUUGUCUGAUGUUUCUGGCAAGAUUCUAUGUCUGCUGCGCUCGGCCGAGGAUGAAUUAUGCUCAAUUGAGGCAUCUGGCCACUGCCGAAAUCUUCCAGAAAGGCAAUAUUAACGUCGGUAGCGAAUUCUCGCCUGCAGAACUCACUCACACUUUUUGGUUCUGUAUGGCCUCGGCCCCAGUAUCGGACAAUUCCGGCAGCUUCGGAGGACCCAAUCAGAGAAGCAAUCAACAACAGGAAUGUUAUUGCUGAGAACAGUGGUUGCAAAGAGGCAGCCAUUUUCUUUUCUUUCUUUUCAGUGAUUUUUGCAGCUUCGCUUUGGUGAGUUCACUUGCACAAUGACUGACCAUUUUAUAGAUGAGUUUAUCUCAAGUGGAUGUUCAGCAUCUAGAAAAUCCAAACAUCCGUACAUGAAAACGUGAAUGGCAUAGUAUUAUUUUUCUGUUUUUAAUUUUGCGGGAGACUACCGUUGUACUCGCCUAACCUCAUCUGCAAUUGGAUGAAGAAAGAUUUUUUUUUUGGACGUUACAUGGCAGCUAUGGGGGGAAGGGGAACAGGUCCAAAGCCAAGCUCCAAAGCCAAUUCCCAGUUGGUUGUAGUUAAAGGGAUCUUCCUCUAACCUGCCGUCACAUCCUUUCCAGAAGCCAAGACAGCAGAAACUAUGUCCACAGCCGAGAUAUGUCUCUGCUGAAACAUACCACAACAUUAUUGAAAGCCAAUCCCCGGACCUGACCAACAAAUGAGUUUUGAGUGGCAGUCCAGGUGCAAAUGCAACCUCAUUGUGAUACAACACGGAGAAAAAGGUCUAAUGGUUAAGGCCGAGAUUUCAAUAAUUGGAGAUGUUUUAGGCUCAAAACCCUCUUUGCUUCUUAAAUUCCACCCUUCAAUCCUACGUUAUUGAAGGCUCAAAACAUAUUGAGCCUUCAACUACUCAUCCUAUUUUUCUAGAAUUUUAAUUAUUUUUUCAAAAAUUGAUUCAUGCCUUCCGUUUGGAUUCACCAUAAUGUCAUGCAAUGCAUUGUUGCUUUUAAUUCCUUAAUUUUAACGUAGCCCCAAACAUGGCAUACAAUAGUCACUCUCAAAAUAAAUGCAAGUAAUUAAUCAUACCAAACAUAACGUUUGGAUUAGGUAUUGUAGCAUACCUUAGUUUUAUUCUGUUCCCUGUUUUACUUAGUUUCAAACAUGCCCUACAAUGUUCAAUAAUGCAAUUAAAUAAACAUACCAAAAAUAUCUAUAUAUAUUUGAAACUAAAAAUAAUUAUAUCCAUAAUAAUCAAUAUAAAAAAUUGACUGUCGCGCCCCACUUUUUGAAAUGGUGUGGAAAUAGUGUGUGAAAUGCAUGUGAACGUGUGCAAAAGUGAAAAGAAAAGACCGUGGGAUUGUGAAAUGCGACGGUUUGGUCAAAUAAAGUUCAAAAGGGUAUUUUUGUAUGAAAAAUGGAGUCGCCACUUGGUAUAGAGUUAGGGUGUACCAAGUCACCCAAAGAUGAUUUUUAUUUUUGAACGAAAAAGUAAAUAAAUCCUUUUAAAGAACUUUUAGGUCUACGUAACCAAAGAAAGGGAUCGGGGGUCACAUUUGAUAAGGGAGAAGGCAAAGGCAAUGCUUAAGGCACUCCCUUACCCUAGCCAAAGCUAGUUGCGUGACUUAACCCCACUUUUCCUAAUUAUUCUACCCAAAGUAUGUAUCGUAUGUUGGAUAUGACUAAUGGAUGCGAAAAGGAAAAAAAAUGCAAUCCUAAAUCUAAAAUGUUUCUCGUGAGACUUUUAGGUCCCAACCACAUGAAUUGUGGUGGCCAAUAAGGAAAGCUCUCAUGGAAGUCGUGAUUAAUGUAAGUGAGGACUCAAGUGCAAGUGUGCAAGUGUGAGAAAAUAAAGGUGUUUGUGUGUGCAAAUGAAUAAAAAUAGGAUAUUAGAUACGUAUAAGUGCAAUUUGAGUGCCAUUUGUGAGAUAGGAAAAAUAAAUGAGGGAUAGGAAAAAAGUGGUGAGAAAAUGGAUUGAGAAAAAUCUAAGUAGUGAGAAAAUGUGGCUAAAAGAGUUAGGAGGUGAUAUAAAAGAAUGCAAGUGUAUGACCCUAAGGGAAUGCAUCAAGUCGGGCACGGGAAGGACUUCUAACUUUACGACUUUAAUUUUCCCUUGGAUUAGAAGGAAGAACUAGCAUGCUAAGGCUAUUUUGUAGCCAAACUCGCUCGUUUCCCUUAUCGAAAGGGGACUCUCAAGCAAAUGUAUCCUAUAACUAGCAUGAGGAUGCAAAAAGCCUAAAAUGAGGGGAAAAGGAUUGGAGGAGCAUGCCAAAUGAUAAAAACUAAGAAAAAUGCAUGAAAUGUAGUGAACAUGCAAGUAUGCACUAACGAAAGGGGAACGGCUUAUUGGGUCUAGCGUUGGACUAGCCCUUUCUAUGAAUUUCUAACGAAAUAAUGAGCCACAACUAGCAUUGGACUAGUGUGGUGACGUACAUUCAUCCAUCACAUUCAUCUACGACUAUAGAAAGCAAGUAGACAUACCAAACACUCAUAAACACAUAACACAUAACACUUAGCAUGCUCGACUAGAUGCAAGAACCUAAUAAAGCAAAUUAACACAUAGCCACAAAAGCAAGCAACCAAGCUAAUAGACCUAUUACAUUUGCUAGUUAGGCAUACGUUUUCAAUAGAUCUUCAUCAAAUGCUCCUCCAAGCCCUAUCUAUUACAAGCCAAGAGGUGUACACAUACCCCAUAAAAGAAUAACUUAAUUAAAAGCAAAAGUAAAUGAAAUAAAGGAACUAAAGAAAGGCGAGGAAAGCAAAUUAGACAUGCAAAUCUCACUUAGCACGUUGGAUCACAUAGGAGAGACAAAAAAGGAUAAAAGAAAUUAUACCUCCCCCUUUUUGUGGUGCCAAUAAAGUGGAUAAAACUUAACUUGGGCUAUAGUCACCAAAGAAAGGGAUAACUUGGGUUAAAACCAUCAAACAAAGAAUUAAUGUACCAAUUUAGUGGUAAGAUGUAAACAAGACAAUUUGAAUCCACCAAAGUAUCAAAUCCUUCCUCGAGGGCAACUCAAAUGAAGCCAAAUAAUGCAUGAAAACCAAGGAAACGGAAUGACACAUUCCAUUCCCAAAUAUGGCAUCUAUUAGGGACCCAAAAGUAAUCCUUGACCAAUCAUUCAAGGCCAAAUUAAAACCUUUUAGGAACUUUAAAGGUCCAAGAGCAAGAAAAGGUCAAGUUGCCAAUUUAUUUAGGGAAGUUAAAGAAAAUAGGCAAGCACGAGUUCAUUUAGGCACAAAGUUCACAAAUUCAUGCAUUAAGUACCACCUAAACAAAACAUGGUAAUUAAUGAAAGCAAACAAACAAUCGAGUUGAAAAAAUGAGGCUACCAAGGAUUCAAUUGCGAACAUUAACCAAGCACUCAAGUCGAAUUAAACAUUUUUAGGAACUUCAAGGGUCCAAGGGCAAAGAAAAGGUCAAGUAAUGGCUCAAAAUUCAAUUAUUCUAAGACCUAUUUGCAAGAAAUUAGAACUCAAUUGAGUCUUUGUAGCAUUGCUGCAAAAUUACAAGGACCAAAUUGAUUAGUUUUUCCAAUUUCUGGGUCAUAGUAGCAUAAGGGGAAACUUGAGGGGGUUAAAAGGCAAUUUUCUUGGACAUUUCUCAUGCAAGAGCAUGCAACACACGUAGGAAGCUUGUUUCUGCAAUAUUUCUGUCAUGCUUUAUCAACCGAAACAACAUUCAAAACAGAUUUCAAAUCCACAUACACAGCUUUAAACUAAGCAGCGAACCAUCAUCCAAACAAACAGAAAACUUAGCAAGAUCCAGUGCAAAAAAUGAAAUGCAUUCGGCAAGUUGAAAGAUCUGGAAACAUAUGAAACUGGUUCGGCAAGUCCUGGUUUGUUCAUUUUUAGCAAUUGUCUGGUCAUAGUUCAAGUGUUUAAAACCCAAAUAUGCAAGUUCAAACCAAUCUUCCACUGCCCCCUUCCCACACAAAACUAACUAACAAAAAUAGAAGAGGCUAAAGCCUGUUGAAAGGUCACAGAAAAAGGCAGAGAGCAAAGUAGGUGCGGAAACCUUUGCUCUACUGCAAUUUUCUGUUACAAGUUCGCAACUCCAACUUGCGCGAAUGAAUGCAGAAAUGCAACAAAACCCAAAGAGGGAAACUCGUGACAAAGGUGAACACCACAUACCAAACCAAACCAAGCAAAACUUUAACAAAUAAAGGAAGGAAGCAAGGUUCGUCCCUACUGCUGCAACAAGCCGAGGGCUUUGAAUUCGUUGCAGCAGCUUUGAAUCACUUAGCUACAACCAAACAAGACGCAGACUUUAUGAACAAAAUCCAGCAACUUUAUUUUCCUAACACUAGGAAUGGACAUUUCCUAAACUGAAACAAACAUAGCCAUGCUGGUUCAAUUAACAAGAGCAGCGAACAAAAAGAAAGCAAAGCAAUGUAGCCAAGUCGACAUGAACGACGCUGCAGCAGAUUUUCUGUUAUGGACUUUCCAAACACAUUUUUUAACUCCAGAUGCUGUUCAUGGGAUUUCACUCAAUCAUAGAUAACAAAAACAAGCAAGGUCAAUUGAGUCACAACUUCAGCAAGACAAAGGAGAAGAAGCCAACAUAUCCGAAUUGCUGCAACAAGUCAAAAAGAUUCAAUCUUGUUGCGGCAAGCUCUUAACCUAAGGACCCAAAAACAAAAGGCCAAAUUCACAGAAGGGACCUCAACAUCAGUCAUCAAAGCACUGAACAACAUCCAGGCUCUUCACAGUCCCAUCAUCUUAAACAGAUUCACAGUGAAUGCAUACAAGAGAAAGCUUCAGUAUUUCAUGAAUCCAGUGACUAAAAACAGGUAAAAGCUAUUACCUUUACGCUUUUCAAAAGCCAAAUGGGAGCUGAGAUGAUCGAUAGAAAGGGGUGUACACAUACCCCAUAAUUUUAUAUGUUACCAUAUAACCCUUUUAUGAUUUAAUGCUUUACUAUAUAACUCUCUUAUUGUUUUCACUAUAUAUACAUAACUCGCUUGUAGUCAAUAAAUAAUUUUCAACUUUAUAGACGAGCAUUUUUUAUAUUUUAAUUGACUUCGUCAUAGAUUGCAAAUUUCGUUACUUUGAUACUUUAAUUCAAAUCAUGAGCAGAUUAUAUAUAAUUUUUAAAAUUAUGAGAAGCUUAUGUAUAAAAAAUAUUAAACUAUAGGGGGAUAAAGUAUAAUUUGCCCGUAUAGCGUCCCGCCCCUCUCCUCUCACUGGAUUGCCUCUCACUGGAUUGGGAGGACUGUAGUAUGAAAGGCUGCAUGCAUGCAACGUCCAGCCUCUCUACAAAUAUUUAGAACCAUAUAGAGAUGAUGCUUUAUCUGAGCUUACUUUAUCAGAAGACCAAUACCAAAGAAAUUGGAUACGCAUCUCCUUAACACUACUACUCCAUCAUUAUUAGCUAGUGUUAUUAUUGAUUUGGUAGUAGUAUUCCUGCCACUUGGCUGCAUUAAAUAAGCUUAUUAAUCAAUUACCUUGAUUGUUUAUUCCAACAAAUUGCCGAAUAAUUAUAUUAAUUAACACUUACUCCAUGAAGUAUGUAACUAUUGCCGCUGCAGCUUAAGGGAUUCAGAUUUUCUGUAAUCACAGCAGUGUCAGCAGCGUACACUUAGUUGUGGCUUGAAAUUAGAAAGAUAGAUUGAAUAGAUUGAUAAAAUUUAUUAUGUAUUCUUUGGUUAUUGCUGCAGUAUCUAUCUACAUAUUUGGUCUUUAACAUUUAAUAUUUACGUCCAUUAUAUUCUGUAGUUAUAUUGUUGUAAUGAUUUCCACGAAGACUUCCAAGUCAUCGUGCCUGUUUCAAGCCACCGUGAGCCAUCGUUCCGAACAAUGGAGGUUCUUGCGUGAAUAUGUUUGUAUGGGAGAACGAAUAUGUAUCUAAUGAUACACAGAACAACUGAAAGAAAAAUGUUUAUAACAUUUGUUUUGCUGAAGAAUAGACAAAAAUUCAAAAUCAAACAAGUACGAUUGAACUUCAUGCGACAAUUUUAUUUAAUUUGGGCAUGAAUGACCAGCCCGUUGUUUAUUUAUUUAUCAUUUUCCUCUCCGGGAUUAACAACCAGGAGUACAUUUGAUUUCAUCCCUCCUUCGGUAGAUAGCGAUCGAGAGGAACUGAUCAGACAGCACCAGCAUAGGACCGUAGCAUGGACUUGAAAGUUACCUCGUGAUGAAGGUAAGGGAAGACCAUGAUGCCUCCAUAAACAGAAGAGUUCUUCAGAUAGGGAAGAACGUCAUCAACUAGCACAUUAGGUGGGAUGUAACCGCCCUCAGGUGCGAUAUCCUUGGAUAUAGGUAUUCCCAGGAACAAUAGAUUAACGCCUCUAUAAUUAGACCACCUGUCCCAACUCCGGAAGAGGAGACUGGUAUCCUUUGGAGGCCUAAUCUGACAAGAUGGGUUGUCGAAAAA
rnacentral:lncRNA from 1 species